rnacentral:lncRNA from 1 species
UGCUCCCGCCGCGUCCGCCACCUGGGCGUCCUCUCCGCCUCCGCCUCCGCCUCCGUCCCCUCCUCGCCGCCGGGUCCGCGCUUGCGCUUGCGGUCCCUCUCGUCCGCCGCCGCGGCGGCCGUAGUGGAGGUGGAGGGCGCCAUCGCGGCCGGCCGGAAGCGGGGAGCGCGAGCUGGCUCUGCUGCUGGUGCGCGCGCGCGCUCUGUGCGCUAGCGGAUGGACGACGGCUGGCCUUGCGAGUCAGAUUGCAGGGGCUGGGUGGGAGGGAGCUGCGCUGCCGGGAUAUAUAUAUAAAGCGAGGGGAGCGGACGGGGUUAUAACUCGCGGGCAAGAUUCCGGUGUUUUUUAUCACCGGAUGGAUGGAUGGAUGGGUGUACUCUUACUCUGCUUCCAUUUGUUUUGUUGUUUUCUUGUCUUUGCUUUGCAUGGGUGAAACCAGAGCCUUUGACGCAGGCGACGUGUACACCUUCAUUUCAUUUCAUUUUAACUGUUCUUGUCAUGGUCAUGCCGAGGACAAGUGCUGGUAGGCGUACGUUGACGGGGGCUUGCCGUGGUGUUCCUCGCCGGUGGGGUGGGGUGGUGACGGCAGAGGGCCGUACGUGAGCGAGCGAGGGAUAGAGUCCAGCGCGGCGGUGGACAUGAUUAGGCAUAGGCAUAGCUUUCCUGCAUGCCAUGUUCGGUUGCCUCGUGGGCGCUGCUUAACAUGGUGCCAGGGGUGCUCACAUGCGCAUGCGCCACCUCCUCCCUCGUGUAGGCACGCACGCACGCCCACGCACAUUCUGCUCCGCCACCUACCUCCGCAUACGAAUCGUCCCAUCAUACGGUGCAGCACCUACGCUUAUACGGUGGUAGUAGUCCUGUGGUACGUAGUACACCGGUGAAAGCUGCACCGCAAAAACAAAAGCGGAUGCUUUCCGCCAAAAAGUAGCAACGCACUACUACUCCCUUCGUCCCAAAUUAUUUAUCUUAUAAAUAAAUAAAAAUAAAUAUAUUUAAAAUUAAAAUACAUUUAUAUACAUUUAUUCUAAUUAUAAAUAUUAUCCAAGGGAGGAGUAAUUUUUUGAGGAAAAGCUCGUGCCUUCCGAAAGAAAAUAAGCCGCCAUGCUUAUCAAUGAUGUAGUAAAACAUAGAGCUUUCUUACGGUACCUUAUGCUGUUAUUGAAGAGGAGCAGUAUAAGCCUCAUCUAACCGUUGAUUUUUAAAGUAUUAUGGACUUGUUCAAAGGACAAUUAGGUCAAUGGUUCUAACUUCUCUCGUAACCAUAAAGGAAGAUUGAUUCUCCGCCUCUGCACCGCUCAGCGACGUGAGAUGAUUGGCGCAGCCGUCCGUCGCCACUGCGUUCGUCGGGACUAUGACGCCCUCCGUAGCUUGACGUGAAACAUCUAUUACACUGGAUGUUCGAGCGCUCGCAUGCGACGCCAUCUAAAUGGAGGAAAUUACGUCCCCUGUCCAAUUAGGGUCUAGGGAUCUUAGUGUAGAAUUCAAAGCAAGGUCUCGUUCUUCUGAUGAAAAAUGAAAUUGCGGACCAAACUAAGUAAAUUAAAUGUUAAUUUGGUCCAGCAUGGACCAGUCUUAUCUGACAAUUUUGCCCUUGCGGAUCGGUAUACUUCUCACGAUUUUGACCCCUCUUAUUUGUGCACUGCUCGUUAAUCUAAGCAGUAUAAGUGGAUCUACACCACUUGAUUAAGGAGAAUGGACGGCUCUGGUUCAUUAGAGGGUGGCGUAAAAGAGCUCAAAACAUAACUCAGCGAUAGUUAAUAUGGAUCCCCUAAAUCAAAUGACGGUUCAGUCAGUUUGCAAAACUAAAAUGAUAGUGGUUCAGUCACCGUGCAACAAUGAAUGCACUUUCCUUGCACAAUAUUUUGUUGUUGUAAACUUUACAAAUUCAACGUUAGAUUUUUAGCAUUUGCCAGCGAACAUCCAGAUUUGUCAUGCAAAGACAAAUGAAUCUGGCAUGCUGGUGUUAAAUUUUAAAGUGAAAAUUGCCAUGGGCUGCAAAAAAUUAUCAAAAAAAUUGUCAUGUUACAACAAAUAAUUAUUCAAACGGGAUCUAACUUAGCUCAGGUAGUCACAUUUCUAGAGCUAAAAUCUGAUCUCACAUGUAUAUUGGGGUUCAAAAAAAGUUAGUGAUUUUUUCUUUGAGCCCUUCACCUUCCGGGGAUUAUGGGGUUGGCAAGUACCGACCGGCGGAACCAUAGAAGAUGAAGGAGAGUGCCAACAAGAUUCCACUUAUUCUAGAUUUAAAGCAGUUUGGAACGAGAUGCGCCGACCAUGAUAUUUGGAGUUCCGAGUAGGUGAUCACGCUUGACUUCGGCUUGAACCUACAAAGGAUGUGAUGCGUUGUUGAGUGAAGGAUUAGGUAUAGCUGACCGAUACAUUGGACCUUUCUUGGCCCAUAUCCCCCUCGCCCUUAAUCUCUUGUUUUGGUGGUUGGUCUCUACCUUUUUUCGUUUCUUGGCUAGUUUGUCUUCCUCUUCUAUUUGAGGGUAACGUACUAAAAGUCCUUUAUUUCACGGGAUUUUCUUUUUCUUUUCAAAUGAAUUUAUGCUUAAUCUAAAUUUAGUAAAUACCAAAUAAGUAAUAAUAAUAAUUAUUAUUGUUAUUAUUAAAAAUAUGUAUCAGUUUCCUGAAACUAACAAGUAGAGUUAUAGCUUUUAUUGACUUACUAGCUUACGGGAACGCCUUAAAUCUCAACUUACUUUGAACGACUGCUUCCCACAUGCAUUGCUGGAAAGAAGAGUGAGCCGGGGCAGAACUUGAAGCACGGGAGAAGGAAAAAAAGAAGUACACAAGGGGUUUGUAGUUGGUAUAUGUACGGUAUAGACCUUUCUUUGUGAAUAGCUAGCUCACUUGCAAGGGUGUAUACAAAGGUCUGCUUAUAUGUUCAAAAAGCCUGUAUAGAUAGCCUAGAUAGCCAAGAAGAUAUACGUAUUUCAUAGAGAUAGCGAAUAAAGUUUUUGUUAAUUUCAAAUAGGCCAUUGAAUGCAACGGCUAAUAAAGAAGACGAAAGUGCCAGAGCUAAGAGCUAAUAUAUUCUCAGUCUAAGCAUGGAUAAAGGAAUGAUAAGAAGACAAAAUCUUUCUUGGGGAUUCCGGUAUUCUAUGACUCUUUUCCAGACUAAUUCACAAUUUUUUUGCUUUGACAAUUCAAAAGUUUGUGAAGGUUUUUUACCAAGAAAUUUAUUCAUCUUUUUCUUAAAGCGAUGGACUGCUAAUGUCUCAUAAGGUCCUCCAAGAGUUUUUUUACAACUGGUUGAACUAUUUCGAUAGAUCCUUUCAUUUCAUCAAGUCGCACAAAAUAGCGGGCUAACGAAUGGGGCCGGGUUUUGGGGACAUGGUUCUAGGUGCACAGCCUAAAGCAUUUUAAUAUUCCAUAUACUGUAAGAAAUCAAACAAUUCAACUUUUUGUGUGGCGAACAUGAGUGUUCUACUCGGAUGCGAAGUUUGGCGAAGAAAUGGCUUCCGUGUUCUUCUGAUAUUUUCGUGAUAUCAAAAAACUUGAUUUGUAACUUUAAUGUAGAACCAUUUUUUUUCACAAAGAAGGCUACAUAAGUCGUUUCUUCUCGAAAUUUUAGACACGAUUUUUGCAGCAUAACCUGUUCGUUACAGAUAUAUUUCAGAAUUGUUAGACCUUUUUGUUAUUUUUAAAAUAUUUUUCAAUGUGGAUACGCCAAGACCCAGGUUCCUUAUUAUUGCUAGCAAAUCCCCUUCCUUUUGCCAUUGGACGUCUUCAUGAGAUUUUCCCUGCUUUCAUCUGUUUUCUUUGAGAGAAAGUUACUGCUUUCUGCCCAAAAAAAGUAAUAGUAAUGCACUUGUAAUAAUAAGGAUAAGGCCCUUAAACAAGAACAAGGUUUUUCUUUUAGAGAGAAAACAAGAACAAGGUUGAGGUCAAAAGGAGAGUAGAGGAGAGCUCCUGUUUGGCGACAGUGUGGAGUAGGUGAACCAGAUCAUGGUUCACCCGCAGCUACCAAUUCUGAAACGAUUCUUCUUCUACUACUGAUUUCGACACGUUGUAGUUGGGUGGAGAUAAACAUGAUUAAUAGUAUAAUUAACCCAAGUGCCGGACGGUUGCUUGCUUGGACUGGCUUACCAUUUGACGCAGUACCUAACCUGAGGGAUAGAAAAGUUAAGCGCUGCAUCAGUGCCGACGCACGCGGCGGCGGCAGGAGCAUCACGUUCCAUGUCGCGUGGCCUGCCCAGUGCUCACGCACGAGCGCGAGCGCGAGCACGAGCACGAGCACGAGCAGUCUCGCUGGCUGCAUAUGGCCACAUGCACAUGCACAUGCAGGCUCUCCGCUGGAAAUUACAGCGAGUUCAGAGACGUUCACGGGCCAUGAACAUGAAGCAUGCUGGCGAUUUCUGCCACGUAAAGAUGCAUGUGGGCGCUGGGAUUUGUGAAUCGGCAAUGGCAGCCGAGGAAUGUAAACGCGCGCAUGCAUGCAUGCAGGCCGGGAGCACGGGCCAAAUCCGGACAGUGGAACUAACUGUAUGCAUGUCAUGGCGAUGCCUCACUCUGCUAGCCUGCUUUGGCCGCUGCAGGGUUCCCAGGCCGCUCAGAAUGUGGCAGCCUGAGCCCUGAAUCAGUGCGUGCGCGCGUGCAUGCAUGCUCUCGUGUGCCCUGCGAGAUGCCACGCCAGGACGUGAAUGCAUCAAUCCUGUGUGCAUCGUACGGGCAUUUGCUAUGCCAGUACGCCUCAGAGUGCUCUCUGCCAAACCUCCAGGCUCACUUCUGAGCUCUGACGGACGGCUUAAAUUGGAGGAGAAUCUAGCCUGCCGCCACCUCCCAGAAAUCGCCGUUAUCUUAUCCAUCGAUCUUUUCCCCUUUUACAUACGCGUCCGUCCCCGGCCAGUGAUAAUCGAUCGUCUCCACGACGCCUGGCCCCGGGCCAUGCGGACGCACAGCAGGCCCGGCGAGCGUGCGCCGACCAAUCCUUGGCUAACGGUUUCGCUGUGCGGGAUCGGCCUCCGGCUCCGGCGCCGGCGCCGUCUGCUGCCGGUGGUGGUGGAGCCUGGCAUCCUGUGGCAUGCGCGGUGGCCUAUGAUGGAUGCUCCGGCGCGUGGGCGGCCACGGGCGGAAAGCCUGGAAUGCUGGGCAUUUUUCUACUACUACCACGGAUCAGGAGGCCGGUCUGCUCGGGCACAUGGCCGGCCGCCCCGAUUCAGCACGAGCACAUGAAAUGAAUCCUCCUGUUCUCAGCCGCGUCACGGUCGACUCCAUAGUGCCACGACGGGCUUGCCUUUCCCCGUCGACCAUGGCCGCCGAAUCGAAGGUGCAGACUGUUGCUAGAUGUUGGGGCUUGUAUAAUAAAGCAACAGGAUGCGGGAGCACAAGGUCUGCAUCCGCGUAAUGUGUGAUGAGGGCGAGCACAUGCCAGGCGAGCCGAGCUGAGCGAUUAAUCUAUCUUGGUUCGGUCGCUCCAGAUUGGAUCCUCGGUGCAGGCAUGUGCGAGGCAAUCACAUUUUCCGAACUGGGCUCCUCCCCUUUCCAUUACGUUCAUAACGAAAAUACAAUGUUUUUCCAACCAGAAACAUAUUGAAGGGAAAGGAAAGAAGCGGGCUCGUGACAAUACCAGGAAACCCGUCAUCUAUGCCUGUCAUCAUCAGGCAUGUGCGAGGCAAUCACAUGGGCCGAUAAUGGUAGUGUUUUUUUUUUUCCUUUGGUUAUAAGCUGGGCGUGACAUUUGGCGGCGCAAAAGUCAAGAGCAGAGCAGAUAGGAGCGCGUCGUUGGUUGGUGCGUACACAUGCAGGCCACUACACUGCAUCUGCAAUGCUGCCGGGAUUAUACUACUAACAACUGAAACAAUCAGGCAGGCAGUCAUGGAGCCGGUCGGUCAGGUAUCUUAUGAUUUGGACCGAGGGAUUUGGUUGCAUGCAUGUCAACCGUGACGUGUGUAUGGAUCCAAUUCCAUAUCCAAUGCAUCGCUCAACAACCAACGGAAUUGCAAGCAGUGUGAUGAUACUGUUGGGACAGAAGCUGGACGCGUGGAUCCACGGUACGUCGGUGUUUCUUGCCAGUUUCCUCUCCUGUAAGAGACGGAUGGCAGCUUCAACAAAGAAACUUUAACAGGUGGAUGGGGGUAUAUCAUACGGGACCAUGAAAGGGAUGUCGUGGUUGCUGCUGCGGGACGGCUGGAUCAUGUCAAUGAUGCGCAUCCAUGCUAUCCACAAGGCACAAGAGCUGGGCAUUGGCAACACAGUGGUAGAAACAGAUGCUCUUCUGCUUGUCUCGGCGAUCAAGACCUCUAGCUAUGAUCUUGCACCAAACGGUGCUCUGUUUAAGGAGAUCAAAGCUUUCUCUUCUCUAAAUUUUAUUUCUUUCGACAUUGUUCAUCGUCCACGGGUAUGUAAUAAGGUUGCAGACGUUCUUGCGCUGCAUGGGUCGAAGAUGGUGCUUGCGCCCCAAGCCGUAUGGCCGGGUCUUGCUCCUACCUUUGCCUAAGUUCUCGUUGCCAGCGAUUCUGCUUGACGCGGUGAUGAAUGGAAUGAAAUAUUCCCAGUUAAAAAAAAAGAGAUGGAGCGGGUUUUUUUUUAACGGCGUGGUUGAAUUAUUUGAAGGAGCGACUGAAAAUCUGCGUUGAUCUCAAAGUGAAGACGCUCGAUGACGAGUGAAAGCAUUACGUCAUAGCAGGGUACAAAAAUAAUUCUAAGCAAAAUCAUAGGUAAUUCUUAUUUGACACUCAUUGCAUCAAACUUUCGCCAAAACGCACUGUAAAUGCGCGGCCCGAUUAGUUGUACCAUAAUUUAUAGGUAUCCAGUUUUAGAAACCUUCUAAAAUGUUUCUUCACCUGUCUGUACCGGCUCUCUUUCGGAUUCUAUCCAUUCUUUAUUUCUGCUAUUUUAUUUAAAAAAUAUUCAAAGCUUAAAGAAAAUUAUUCAAAAAUUCAAACUAUUUAUAUACGUUCAAUAUAUCAAAGAAUGUUCUCAAUGUUUUAAAAUGUUCAUGUUCAGAUUUUUUUUUUUAAAUCACAGUUCAGACAAAUGUUCAAAUAUGAUAGUCUGGUACCAAAAACCUUUUUUUUUUGUGAAUCAUAGUGCCAGUUGUUGGCCUGAACUUUUUUUUAGUUUAGCUCUUUUUAGGUAACGUAGAAUUCAUUUUUUUAAAACUCCACAACUUCAUUAAACAUCUAAAAUGUCUUGAAUAACACGGUUGAGUUAUCUGAAGGAGCGAACGAAAAAAUCUGUCAGUUGUUGAUCUUAAAAUGAAGACAUUGGAUGACGAGUGAAAACAUACGUCGUCGUAUGAUAAUUCCUAUUUAACACUUGUUGCAUCAAACCUUCACCAAAGCGCACAGAGCAGAGAGAGCGAACAAGGUAAGUGGACUGCUCAAUUUGUUUUACACACAGUACGAACGCUCAUAUAUACGCACAUAUACUCAACAUUAAUGUACAUUCGAAAGACGGAGAUGACACAUCACUUUAAGAUUGACGAAAUCGCCCAGAAGCCUUUCCAUAAAUUUAGUUGUGCCAUAAUUUAUAGGGUUCCAGUUUCAGAAACCUUCUAAAAUGUUUCGCUUUUGCUUAUUUGCCUUUGGCUCUUUGCAAUUGUUAUAUUUACUGGUUUGUACCGACUUUUUUCAUUGUUUUGUUUUCUGUUAUUUUCCUUAAAAAAACUUCAAAACUUACAAAUAACUGUUCAAAAAUCCAAUAUAUAUAUGUAUUUUCUUUAAAUUUCCAAAGCUUCAAAAAAUAUUUGUGUUUUUCAAAAAAUAUUUGAAAAUAGGAAAAAAAUGUUCAUGUCCACAUUUUUUUAAAAAUGUUCAAAAUAAAAAAAAAACAAAUAUGAGAAUCGGGAACAUGUAACCAUUUUUUAGGAAUCACCGUGUCAGUUGUUGGUCUGAACCCUUUUUGUAAGAUCUAGCUUUUUCUAGAUAUCGAAGAAUUCAGAUUUAUCUUAUAACUCCACGUUUAUUAAACAUCUAAAACGUCUGUUACAUGAAUUAAAGAAGAAAGCCGAAUAUGUGCACCAACUGCUAGAGUAACUGCAGCUCUGGUUAUUCAUGUGCUCCGAAGUUUGUCUCCUGUGCUUCAUGCGCAAUUUGUGAAGUUGCAAACUGAUGCCACCUUGCUUGGAUAUCCUUAGCGAUCAUGGAUGACGAUCCCAGAAACGGUUCCCUAAGAUGAUUCACUAUAGCUAAACAGUAUGUUGCAACUCUGAACUCUUGAACAGCAUGCAUGCGUCUCCAAGAUUUCAUUAUCCCAGAGGUCCGUUGAAGAUAGAACUCGAGCACAUAGGGGCGCGUCGUCAUACACAUGCAGACCACUACACUACAUCUGCAAUGCUGGGAGCAAAUAAAAAUAAAAAAUACUAGUAUAAUUGAAUCAAUCAGGUAUCUUAUGAUUUAGACCAAGGGAUUUGGUUGCAUGCAUGUCAACUGUCAUAUGUAUGGAUCCAUAUCCAAUGCAUCGCCCAACAACCAACGGUGUAGCAAGCAAUAUGAUAUGGUAAUGUUACAAAUCUGAAGUCAGAUUCUUAAGCGUGACAAAUCGAAUGUUUUCAUUUUUAAAUUUUGUUGACGUGACUACGUGAGGAUACGAAAUUUAGUUUAGGAGCAAGACAAUUUUCCGACAGAAAAAUAAACUGAGAUAGAUUUGCCACGUUUGCCAACUAAAUUUUCUAUCCUCAACAAACACAAAUUGCCAUAAAAAAAAUUCAAUUUGUGAUGGUCAAAAAUCAAACAUCAGAUAUGUAGUGGAGUCCAUAUGAUACUGUUCGGACAGAAGCUCGAUCGACGAUACAACGAUGUAGUGCCGGAGCAUGUGUCCUCUCAUGCUAGGGACACAUGGGUUGAACUGCUUGGAGCCAAUCAUCGUGUCAGUUGUUGGGUUUAGCUUUAUUUAGGUAUCAUAGAAUUUAGCUUGGCUACAGUGCUUCGCUAAUUUCGUUGGCGGCUCGAAUCAACGGCAUGGAAAGAAGAGUGCUCCUAUAUGAUGCUUACUGCAUCAUAUAUAUAGUUGCACUGACGCACAGGCACACGGCAUAGACCGGCGACCUAGUUCAGGUACGGUGAUAUUUCUUGCUGAAUGUGUUUACGGGAGUGCCCAGUCCAUGGGUACCCUCUCAUCUGGCUUCCAAGUGGACACUCCUGAGGCACGCGGGAGUGUUUGUGGCGCCACAUGUUGCGUUUUAACGUUGUUAAUCUAGUUUAUGUUUCCCUAGGUUUUAUAUUUUCCUGUUUCUGCUCUUUUUUAUUAUUAUUCUUUUUUCGUUUGUGCUUUUCCAUCGGAAGCAUAUUCGCGCUCACGUGUUUUUUACUCCCUCCGUUCCUAAAUAUAAGUACAUCUCCUCUGAAGUGUACCACUCCUCUUAAGGAAAUAUUUGUACCAGAGGGACACACGGAGAAAGGUAAGGUUGUGAGUGGAUCGGCCACUAGGGGUCCGUCUGCUCACAACAAGACAACCGAAUUCAUGCCGCCAUCCUAUGUACUACGCAAAUCAAAGGAAGGAAAGGUCUAUGCUAAAUUCGUUGGUCCCCGUAAUGCAUUUCGAUUCUAUGCUAUUUGGGUCCCUAAGACUCUUGUAACUAAUGUGAAAGGCUCCAUGACAAAAUGGGUACCUCAAACCAAGUCUUAAUUCUUUACAGGCUAUUUUCUCCGGUGGAGCAAAAUGGGUGAUCGACAGUGGAUGCACCAAUCAUAUGACCGGAGAUAGUAACUUGCUCUAUGACUUCAUGCAAGCCAUUCGACCAUACAUGAGCAUUGUAUUUGGUGGAGGGUCGAAAGGGCAGGUAAUUGGGUUGGGCAAGGUGGCAAUCACUAAUGACAUGUCUAUUGCAAAUGUCAUGCUUGUUCAAUAUCUUCAACAUCAUUUACUUUCAGUUCGCCAAUUGGCUUCCGUCGGUUAUGACACACUAUUUGGACUAACGGAUGUGAAAGUCUUUAAGAGAGACACUCUUGAAGUGGCUUUUGUUGGAGAGUUGGAUAGCAACCUUUACACGGUUGAUUUCUCGAAAGAGAGCACUUUCCAUACAACUUGUCUAAUGGCCAAGGCCGACAUGGGAUGGUUGUGGCAUCGCCGGCUCGCCCAUGUUGGCAUAAAAAUCUUCAAAAUCUCUUAAACGGUAAUCACAUCCUUGGACUAACAAAUGUAUCUUUUAAGAAAGAUCGUGUGUGCAGUGCAUGCAUAGCUGGGAAGCAACAUCAAUCAAGACAUCCACUCAAGAACGUUGUAUCCACUUCAAGGCCGUUAGAGCUCCUUCAUGUGGAUCUAUUCGGGCCUCCUUCAUGGGCAAGUCUUGGAGGGAAAAAGUAUAGCCUAGUCAUUGUUGAUGAUUACUCAAGAUAUACAUGGGUGUUCUUUCUCAAGUCCAAGGACGAGACAAAGGUCACUUUCAUUGAUUUUGCUAAACAAGCCCAGCGGAAGUUUGACAAGGACAUUAAGGCAGUAAGAAGUGAUAAUGGCUCUGAGUUCAAGAACUACACCAUAGAAGAAUUUCUGAGUGAUGAGGGGAUUGAACAUCAGUACUCCGCACCCUACACUCCCCAACAAAAUGGUGUGGCAGAAAGGAAGAACCGGACACUUGUGGAAAUGGCAAGGUCCAUGUUAGAUGAAUACAAGUCACCACAUAGCUUUUGGGCUGAGGCCGUCAACACAGCAUGUCAUGCAUCAAACCGGCUCUUCCUCCGAUCAAUAUUGGAGAAAACUCCGUAUGAGCUCCUAACUAGGAACAAGCCCAAUGUUAAGUACUUUCGUGUGUUUGGAUGCAAAUGCUUCAUCCUCAACAAACGGGAACGGUUAGGCAAAUUUCAAUCCAAAACAACUGAGGGGAUUUUUGUUGGCUAUGGAUCAAACUCUCACGCCUACAGAGUCUACAACAAAUCCACUGGAUGUGUUAUAGAAACUUGUGACGUGACGUUUGAUGAAUUUAACCGCUCCCAUGGGGAGCAAGUUGAUCUAAAUGAUGCAGGUGAAGAAGACUCCCCACAAGAUAUCUUAAACAUGGGUGUAGGUGCACUUUUGCCUANNNNNNNNNNNNNNNNNNNNNNNNNNNNNNNNNNNNNNNNNNNNNNNNNNNNNNNNNNNNNNNNNNNNNNNNNNNNNNNNNNNNNNNNNNNNNNNNNNNNUGUCUCUCUCGGAGUUUCGGUUAUUCCUAACCCUAACUCUCUACUUGUGUUAAUCCUUAUUACAUACUUGUAUUUGCUUAUUGUUUACCGCUUGCCUUGCUUCACUCCUAAUAGCUUACUCUUUGUCAUAGCAAUUAUUAGGCUUACACUUAUAUUCCGCACUUUAGCCUAAAAUUGCUAAGUAAUUGUUAAAAUUUGGAUUUGUACCUAUUCACCCCCCCUCUAGGUCCAUCUCGAUCCUUUUCACUAUGGCUCUGGGCGGCCUUGACCGUGCGGUGGUCCACUCGUCGUGCGGUAAAGAGCUGCGCCAACCAUAGGGAUGACGAUGGUGGGUAUUUCCGUGAGGAAUUGGCAACCGUAGGAAGAGAAAUCAUAUCUCUUUGGUGAUUUCGCAAACCAGCCCUUGGGUUGUGCAUGAAUCACGUAAAAGUCCUAGCACUUUUUGAGUUAGCCCUCACGCUUAUCUAAAUUUGCUGCUAAGCCUCUGGCUUAUUGAAAAUUACAAAUGAGCCAUCAGGCUCAUGGGACUUUGAGGUUUAGCCCUCAGGCUUGCUUUCUUCAACAUUAUAACCAUAAGGUUAUUGGUAUUUGUGUUUUAUGCCCCGAGCAUUCAGAGCAAAUAUACAUGGUAGACUACAAGGUCUUGCUGAAUUGCAUAAUAAUUGGUUAUGCAUCAUUUUACAUCGUCUAAAAUGACGGUUUGAGGCCCCAAGUCCUCAUAUGUGUUGCACAUGUAUGUUAAUACUUUUGCAUUUAUUUGUAUUACAUUAGUAAUACUGUUGCAAAGCAAUAUGUUGACUACAUUAUUCACAUAGAAUAUGGAAUUUGCUUGCAAAUUUGGGGAACAUAAGAUAGUCAAGUGUAUGAUACUGUCUGACUAUGUCAAAUGUACACUUGUCACAAUAAAUUGACAAAUAGUACCCACUGCUUAAUUGUAAAUUAUUCAAUGUUAUUGUGAGGUCUAUAUUAUGUCGUUUCGACAUAAUGACCACCUUCAAUUUUUGCACACAACUUAUGGAUUGUUUUAUGGCAACGAAUUAACUUUCGUUCACAACUGUGAGGUCUACACCACCAUGUGGUGAUUACCUUCAAUGAGUUUUAACUAACAUAAGGUUGUGAGAAGCUCCAUAAGAUUGACGUCUACACUACUCAGUAGUGAUUAUCUCCAUGUGUUCAAAGCAAAGUGAAGGCACAAAACUGAUGACAUAGUCAUUAUGAGGCCUACACCAUUGUUGUAUACCUUCAUGAUGUUUUUCCAAAUAAUAGUCAAGUUCAUAGAAUUUCUCAUUGGUUGUGACUAUAGUGUCACAUACUCCAUCUGGAGAAGAAUCCAAUGCAUUAGUGGCGAUUAUGCUACAUGUUGUGCUAUGAAUGAAGAGAGUUAUGCAAAAUAUUUGCAUAUUUUGGUGAUUACCUUCUAUGAGUACACAACUUAUGAGAUGUGAUCAUACCAACGAAUUAAAUUUCGUGCACAACUGAGAGGUUUAUGCCAUUUCAUGGUAAUUACCUUCAUGUGUUUUAAAUAACAUAAGGUUGUGUAGAGGCUAUGAUUGACUAAAAUAUCCAUAAGAGUGAGGCACCACUACGUGGUUGAUUACCUUUGUGUUUUAUGGAAUUAAAGAUUUAUUCUUUAUGAGGUGACUAUACCUUCAAUUUGAAGAACUACAUCAUAGUGUGAUGAUUAUCUUCUUGUGAAGGCUUACUCAUGAAUCACUGAGAAUCACCAUGAUCAUGAUUAUGCUUAGUCAUAGCAUUUUCAUUGUACUUAAUUUACUAAAGGUAAAUUAAUGCAUGAGCAUUCAUGCAAUAUAUGGCGAACCUUUUUCGAAAGGAAAUGCGAUGUGAUGACAUAAGGUGGAAGUAACUAUUGAAAAUGGGUCAUGGACAUUAAUGAUUUUGUCGACCCGUGGCCUUGUCACCAUAGAAAUUCCACCUACACAGAAUGUCAUGGCUAUUUAUAAAUAGCUGAAAGGCGCAGAUUUGCAUUUAUGUGACAUCGCAAUGUCUCGGUUCUGAAACUGAGUAUUUAAAUGGAUGAUGAAUAUCCAUUUGCCCUUCGGGACUACCUUAGGGAGAGAGAUAUUGUGAUAAGCAUCACAUGAAUGACUAUUCAUUUAUGUUCAAGACUUGAAGUCCGUUGAUGCUUAUAAUUCUGUUGUCUAUAAAUCAACACUAAGUUGAGAUUAUGUGAUAAGGCAGUCUCAGAUCUUGAUCUGAUUGUAUGUCCUUACUGCACUUUACAUCCCCCUAUGAUGGUAAAAUAAACACCAUCUUCAUUUCAGGGGUAAAAAUAUGAUGACCUUCUUGUGAAGAAUCAUCUGGUACACCCCAAUGGGUGCUAUAUCAUUACCUGAAAUUUGUGCUAGUGCUUUCAGUACUAAGAAAUAUGUGGUUAGAGAACCACGAGGAGUUGAAAGUGAAGUGGAAAAAAGAGACAAGCAGAAAUGGAGUGUAUAUCUCACAAAGGCAUGUGUCAUUUAGAUAAAUGAUCACAAUGAAAACUCCCAAUUUUGUCAAAGGGGUGAUUGUAUGAAAUAUCGUAUUAAUGAUUACCAAACUUUUAAGUUUUUGGUUGAAUCAUGUCACUGACUCAUUGGAGAAGGCGAAUGAAUUUAAUGGGAUAAGUUUGAACUUCUAUUUCAAAUGGACAACCAGAAAAUAUUCUGAUGCAGUAGAAGGAGAAUGCACUCCUCUACAUUGAUGAUAUGCUUGUGGAAUGACAUUCCCAAGAUAUUUUGGAGAUCUUAUGUAGUCUCCUAGUUAUCCCAAUAUAUCAUUAGCCCAUAAUUGUACUACUACAGGUGGUAUAAUUUGCAACAUCUUGUCCACGGGACAUGAUAGUUGUGAGGAAUUGAGUGUACGAAGAAUUCGUACAUAAUAUUGUUGCGUACACAAUAAUUUUUCCUCCUUUACCUGUCUGGUAUGAGGACUGUUAGAAAAAAUAUUGAUAAUUCUGUUGGCCACAACAAUGUUGCAAUAUUCGUGACAAUCGAAAGAUUUUAUGUGCACUACAUGUGCCAUAGAGGAAUUAAUUUUAAGGCACUCUCACCUUAAAAUUUGAAUGUGCCACUCAUUAUUCUUGAAUGGAUCCAGGAAUGAUGCAAAAUAUUCAACCAUUGGCUGGGUUAUUUUGGUACUUCAUGGUAUUCAUAGACACAUCUAGAAGAUGGUCUUAGGUGUGUAUCAUCCACACAAAACCAUGUGUUUACUGAAUUAAGUGCUCAAAUUGACGAAUUUGAAGCAAAUGAUUAUAUGCAUGGGAUAAUUCCAUUGGAAUGGAAAUGUCGUUGAAUUUGAUUCACGAGAAAUCCAUGGUCAUAUUUGGUACGUCGUGUACCUACCCAGAAUGGUGUGGCUAGAUCUCUUGUCAAAAAGAGUUAAGUUGUUGUGGGAAAUCACAAGGAGUUAAGAGGCAUAACGAGAAUUCCACGAAUGAUAUCGAUUCAAGAAAAUCGUAUAUUGAAAGUCUACAUAUGUCGACAUAAAUUUCUUCUUGAUAAUUGCAGAAAUCCUUUUGGGCCCUGAACCAAAAUCCAUGGAAAGUGUUGUUGACACUUAUAUUGGUUCAAAUGAAAAGAAGCAAUUAAGAAGAGUAGCACUCGCUCAUCAAAAGAGAGGUGUUUAUCAUAGUAAAACCUGCUCCUCAUAAGUAUCUUCCUCAGUGAAGAGAAGUGAUUUUUCGUUCAGAAACGAAAUAGAUGAGGUGGUGAGAAAGCGAGGCUUGUAGCACAUGGGUUUCCGCAUAGACCCAACAUCAGUUAUGAUGUAGCAUACCUUCUCGGUAUGAGUGGAAUUAUGUUUCGAUACUGAAUUGGCAGUACAAAUCCAUGUGGUUGAUGUAUGUAAAGGCUACAUACUCACAUGGAUCAUUCAGUUUGGAUAAAUAUAUAUUGAAGUCAUGAAAUGGCUUAAUAUUCCGAAUCCAAUGAUAAGUUGCAACAUGUGUGAAGCUUCAGAAGUCAUCCUAUGACUUUGAACAUGUCGGAUAGUUGUGUGGUACAACCGACUAAAUGAGUUACUCCUCGAUAAGGAUUACUCUGACACUAAUGAUUGUUGAUGUGUAUUCAUGAAGAUAUCCUUAAUUGGAUUUACAUCAUGUCAUUGAUGUGGAUGAUCUUAUUAUCAAUGUCUAUACAUGACAUAUUAGAUACACAUAAUCAUUUUGAGACGGAUAUUUGGGUCAAACCAAAUGGUGCUAAGUUUAUAGCUUGAGCACAUUCCCUAAGGAAUAAAUGUAUGUCAGUGUUCAUAUAUCUAGAAAUAUUGAAAAAGUUCAAUAUGGAUAUAUCUUAUCAAAGACACAUAUGGUCAUAUUAUACCUGGCAUGGGACACAAGCCCAUUCAAACCUAGGGGAGAUGGUAAAGUGAUAAUGGACAUGAAGUUCCGUAUCUGAGUACCAUUGGAGCACAUAUAUAAAUUGCAAAGUAAGUCAGGCCUGACACUAUAUUUGUUGGCAAUUUAUUGAGAGUGCAUCCCCAGUAAAAGGUAUAAUGGUUGGUGUAAGGAAUAUCUUGAGAUAUGUCCAAGACACAAAAGGUCUUGAUUAAUUCCAUUGAGAAAAUCAAGAUGGGACCAUGGUAUGAUAUCCUGAUAGUGGCUGAUAAUUUGAUCCCAACAAUGCCAUAUCAAAGACUGGAUUUAAUGGAAGAGUAUUUUGAGGGAAGCCUUCAAAAUAGACUCUAAAUGAGUCCUUCCUAUAAUCAUUCUGCCAUAACUAUGUUUGAAGCAUGACAAGAUAUACAUGUAUUUGCAGAAUGACUAGUCACAUGUGAGAUCAUGUGAAGAUUCAUUGGAAUCAAUUAUCAUUAUCUACCAAGAUAAUGUCACUUGUAUUUCUUAUGGGUUAUAUUUAUCCUCGCAAAUUAUAGAAAUGUAAGAGGAUAAUAUGCAAACAAAUUAUGGUGAGGUUCAUAAUGUCUCUACCAACGUUUAUAUUCCAGAAUCGCAUUCGUGGAAUUGGUAUGAGACAACAUUGAUGUUUGCGAGGGGAGUAAAAUCCCAUGUUAUAACCUUUUGGUGAUCUUCAGAUCAUUCAUAUUGUACUCUUUUUUCCUUUAUGAAUUUUCCAAGAUGGUUUCUCAUAUAAGGUUUUUAACGAGGCAAUAUAAAUACAAGUGCGGAUGUAUGCCAUAUUGGUUUCUCCUUAUAUUUUUCCCACCGGGUUUUAAAGGAGUUUUCGAUGGCAUAUUAUUAUAAGGUUUCUCCUCAUUUUUUUCCACAGGGUUUUUGGAGGAGUUUUCAGUUUGCAAUAUACAGAUGACGAAUUGAUCAAGGGGGAGUGUUGAGAAUUAAACAUGUGAUCAAUUGUAUGGGAGGGAUGCCUCCGAGGAGGUGUCUGUUGGGGAAAGGUGUCUCCCUAACACACCCCUUCAUUUUGUAUAUAAGUGGGUCUUCCACAUUGCAAUAGAACUAAUGGAUCAUUUGGACUCUUCAGUUGUCUCUUUGCAUUCAUUCUACUAGGAGAUGUGAAGUGUGCCAGAGCAUUAACGGUAGCGCAGCCCUCAGGAGGGACCAUGGAGGAAGCUAGAUAGAUGCUUGGGGGUACAUAUGUACGAGACCUCCUAUAUGCCGCUCGCUACGGCAGUUAGUCGGUCCUAGCUGGGCCAACCCAUUAGCAGCACAGAGCAGCGAGUGGGAGGAAUAGGCACUGUAGAGUCCCCCCCCCUCUAAAAAUAGGGUACCAUAGCGCCGUGGAAGGUAAUGCAGCAAACCAUCACUGUAGCAGACGUUGGAAAUCCUAUUUACUUUAUUUUGAACGAAAAUUAAGGUUUUGAACAUUUUAUUUGGAAAUUAUUUUUUUUGAAAUUUUGAACUUUUUAAAAAUCACAAACAUUUUUUAAAUACAUGAUCAAUUAUUUAAUUUUUUAAACAUUCUUUCGGGAAUUACAAGUGUUUUUAAAAUCGCAUUGAACAUAUUUUUGAAAGUGAUAUUUUUUGAAAAAUGAAAAUAAAACGAAAAAAUAAUACAAAUACUGAAAAACCAAGAAGAAAACCGGAAAACCCCGUGAAGAAAACAGAAAAGAGAACUGGUUCAGGAAAGAAGAAUGUUAAUAAUACGGAUAAACACCCGGGAUAAAUGCUUUUUUCCAGUUUAGAGUUUAGAAUUUGGUUUAGAACAUUUUUUUGCUUUAGUUUCCUAUUUUCAUUAUUUAAUUUGUAAUUUGUUUUAAAUAUUCAUGCAAUUUUAAAGUCAUGAACAUUUGUCCACAUUGGCAAACAUUUAUUAGUUUCCUUUUUUAAUUUUUUUAACAUUUUUGAAAUUUAGAAACAUUUUCAAUUAAUCGAACUUUUUUGGGUUUCAUGGCCUUAUUUAAAAUAUGUUUAAAUUGAUCGCCAUGCGCUCGCCCGCUGGCGGAUGUAGUGGACGUGGUGGGUCGCGGUCCGUGCUGAGAUUUUAUUCCAGCCCGUAUACCAUUGGAGAAUAAGAAAUGGGCUGAAGAAAACAAAUAAAAUAAAAGCCCAGCAAUCCAGUGGCCUCGCGAGAAAAAAAAAACCCCGGCGAGUCGCGAUUCACCUUUGCGGUUCUUCCCUCUUCUGAUUUUACUCGCCGCCAGCCAGCCCUGCCGCCAGCCGCCGGGCACGCCUCGCCGGCGACUCGCUGUCGCCGGAUUCCCAGAGGCCCAGGAGCCCGGGAUGGAAGCUCAGAUUAGAGAUUAAGCUCCGAUUUGCGGAUUAUAAGCAGCGCGGGACAGGGGACAAAGAUGGCUGCUGCCGGCGCGAAGGCGGUGCCGCCCACCUUGCUGUCGCUGUGCUUGCAGGCGGUCGCCGCGCAUCUCACCGCCGACGCGGCAGGCUCGGGUCGAUCCGGCGGGUGCGGUGCUCAUUUCGACGGGCUCGUCCAGGAGCUCGAGGAGGAGGAGGAGGAGGGUGGCGGCCACCUCGCGCCGGAGCAGGUCGCGGAGGCGCUGCCUUGGGAGCUUCUCCACCAGCUGGCGUCCUAUCUGCCGCCGUUCGCUCUCGAACUGCUCCAUCACGGCGCCCAUGUCCGGUACCCUACCCCUCUCCCCGUCCUUGCCUCCUCCCAUGGACCAUGGAUUGGAUGCAGUCUCUAUCUUCUUCCAUAUGUGGAGUACAGUGUAGUGUAUUCCUUCCACUCCUUUUAGUAUUUUCUUACAUUUUCAAAGAGAAAUUGGCUAAUCAUUUUGCAUUUCUGAUUGCCCAUCCUAGAUGCUGCUCUUCUGCUUCACUUACCGAUCGGUUCGGAGAGGCCGGCGGCAACAGACGUGGGACGAAACGUUCAAGGUGACGCUCAUUUGUACACUAAUGAGUCAGCUGCUGCAUUUGUUACAAGACGUCGGCCAAGAGAAUACUCCCUCCGUUCCUAAAUAUAAGUCUUUGUAGAGAUUUCACUAGUGGACUACAUACGGAUGUAUAUAGACAUACUUUAGAGUGUAUAUUCAAUCAUUUUGUUCCGUAUGUAGACAUGUAGUGAAAUCGCUUAAAAGACUUAUAUUUAGGAACGGAGGGAGUACUCUUCAAGUAUUUGACAGUGUUGAUGCUCGCAGGUGUGAAGACUUCAACACUGCAUGGCAGGCAUUGUUCGAAUUUCGCUGGCCCCUCCACGAUAACACUGGACAUGAUGACUUGGUUACUCUAGACUGGCAGCAGAAAUACUGGGAAAAGCAUCUGCAAGAGUGUGUUAUCAAACAGUUACAGAUGGGUUAAUCGUUGAUUAAUCCAGUCUGGACUGACUUUUGUCACUUCUUUUUACCCUUCCACAGGUGCCUGGAUGAAGCUGCAGAGGCCGCGUCGCUUCCUUCAUUUCGUGGGCAUAUUGGUGAGCUAAGUAUGUCAGGUGAAUAUAUAAAACCCCUUCCUCCUUCAGUAUUUGUUAUGCUUGACAUUGGUUGGUUGUUUACUCGCCAUAGUGAACAACUAUCAUACCAACAUGAGGCCUUGAGCUGAUUUGUUUCCUAGCCAAUAACAGCUUUAAGUUAUGCUUGCAGUUAGUUGUAACUGCAUUAUUGCACCUGCAGUAGCUAUUGAAAUUAUCUUCAAGUUUAACUAUAAUCUAUGCAGAUAAAACCAUGAGUUGCGUUUACCUCAGUGAGAACAUAGCUCAGCAGUAUUCGAGACUGUCAUAUCAUUGGACCAUACUUGGAUCCUAUGCAAGGUGCGAUCAUAUUUGUCAUUUGUUUGUCAUACCCAGUUCCUCUUUAACUCAUAUUUAACCUUUACAUGGAUAACUGCCUGGUGCUAGUGAUUUAUAUUCAAUUAAAGAAACCCCCACUCGUAAGUAGUUAGAGAUCGGUAAUAAUCUGGUGGGGAUCUCUAGUCAUGUUAUGCAAUGUUAGUUUUUCCAGUUUAAUUACAACAUGGACCUAGCUCAGAUCAGGUUGCUUCCAGCAUCCUUCAAGAACUAUGUAGAGAAUAGAUUUUCUUUGUUCUUACUAUAGUAAUUUUAACUUAUUUUCAGGUGCUUGAGAUUUCAAAAUGUGCUUUGCACGGCUGAAAUUUGUGUAAGUGCUCAAGCAGUACCUUUUUCCUUUAUUUUCCCACUGUCUAUGAUUAAUUAUCCACGGUCCGUAGCAUGUGUUGUUCAAUUGUGCAUGUGUUGUUUAAUUGUGUAUUUGUAUUGGGAAAAGUCAUGGAUGAAUCCAUGGGCAUAUGAACCCACUUUGGAAAACCCAUUUUUAAUUGCCCGAAAAUUAUAAAAAAAGUUCCAUGCAUACAUCUUCACAUUCUAUGUGCGCACAGAAAAUUUCGUGGAAACACAACUUUUUGUUCGGCCUGUGCAAAAAAGACAAAAAAAUAUGUCAUCUAACGCUAUUUAGGAGCACUGAAAUUUGUCUUUUUUGCAGAGGCACAACAGGAAGAGUUUCUUCCACAAAACUUUGUGUCGGGCACACAUGUUACGAAAAUGUAUGUGUGGAAUUUUGUUUCAAUUUUUUUGACAUUUUAAAACGCAUUUAAAAUGCAUUUUUAGAAAGUGGGUUCAUAUGCCAAUGGGUUCAGUAUGUCCACACUCAUCUGUAUUGCUGUUAUUUUGUUGGUAUUUUAUUAUACAUGUACCGCUCCAUCAUCCAUACAACAACAAAUGUGCACUCAAAUUCCGGAAAAGUUGUCCUUCGUGCUAUAUAUGUUUGCAUGUGUAUGGCAUGAAAAAUGUGAAUUCAUUGUGUAAAGUUCAAACUUAAGACAGUUAUGGUUGACUGCUAGAAAUCCGUUGUUUUUCAGGACAUGUUGCAACAUAGCAGGCUAGAAACUUUGGUGUUUGUAAGAAUCAUAUCAGAGCUUGAGGUAAUAUUAUGCCGGUAAGAUUAUGUUUGUUGUUGCAUACAAUAGCUUUAGGGAACAAAAAUGCAGAGCCAUGGGCUGCAACUCAGUUAAAAGUAACAUUAUGUUCCAUAGUUCAAGUUCCCGUGUCACGUAAACUAUAUAUCUUUGUACCAUAAGAGACAUAGGGAAAGUUAAUGUUGAGGCAGCGUUGUUAAGAAGCAUGCCAAAGAAGAACUGACUAGAAAAAAAAAUUAUGCAGCAGAUAAGCUACACACUUGUAGUAUCCUUUACGGCAUGAUGGCUCGUAUUGUUGCUUUGCUCUGUUUUGUCAGCUGAUACUAAGCUAAGAGUGGUCCAAUUUUUUAAGCCCCUUUUCAAUUUCCACUGACAGGUGAAUGCUGUAUGCCGGCUUCUGAGCUGCCAUGCUAGGACACUGUUAUCUCUUGAAUUUAUCCACUGCCAGCUUUAUCCUGCAGUCAUGGAUAAAGUUUGCACUAGUCUUUACCAGCCAGGAUCCCAAAACUACAAGAUCCAGUCCUUCAGUAUUAAAUCAUCUCGCAUAAGUGAAAGCAAGUCUCUAACCACCUCUGCUGGUCUAUUAAAUUUUCUGUCAUGUGCAAAGUAAGUUGCAUGUCCUCUUAUUCCACCUUCGUUUUAUUUUUGAACAGAUGUCGGGGAAUAGCCCGAGGAACCCAACCUUUUUUCCCUUUAUCAUUCUUUUUUAGCAAUUGUUGUUGCAUUAUUCUAUACAAUGGCACUCUAAUUAGAUGCUCAGUUAAUGAUUCCAUAAUAUAAAUUAGGGAGGAAAUUUUAUCCAGCCAUUUUAUGCAUUUUUCAUGAGAAUACUCUCCUAUUCUUCCCAUGUUGUAUUUGUUAGUUUAUGCUUCACAUAAAUUUUUAUUGAAGUAAAUACUCUCCCUGACACCAUGGAAAGAUUUAACACCAUUUUGAGGGUUUUGUGGAAUGGGCGCUGAUAGUUUGGCUGUUCUAGGUCCUUCUGAAAAAUCCGGAUAUGACCGUGGGUUUAACCGGAAACUGAAAAGCGGUGCCAGAUCCAGUCAUGUUGAACUUUUACAUGUUUUACAUGAAAAAAUAGUUUGCAUUAUUUUAUUCAGAGUAUCAUGACACACCCAUGGACGAUAUGGUCAUUCAUCUUAAAGCAGAGAGCAGUAGAAUAGAUUAGAAUGCAAAUAAAAAAAAGAGGCAAGAAUAAGAGUAACGAUAUGUAGAAGUGAAAAAAGAAAUCACCUAUUCAUCCUGUCAUUCAAUUUGUCCUGGUAACCUCAUGCCUGCAUCUCCAACCUAGUCCGCUAGUCGGUUGUUUGGGAUUUAAGAUUGGUAUAUGCAACAAACUGGUUAUGGUGCCUGUCUGUAAGCAUAAAUGGCAUGAUGUUGCUACUUAAUUACUGAUUGUUUGCCAAAAAGAUUGGGUGCACAUUAGCAUUGUUUUAUUCUUACUAUUGUUCAGGUCUCUGCAGUUGCUGUCAUUUAAUGAUGCUAAGAUGCAGCCAUCAUUUGCUAAGAUAAUUAUUCGUACUCUCCUUGAAGCUUCCUCCGGUUUACACACGCUUGACAUGUCAGAAAACAAUGUGGGUUCACACAAGAAUCUUUUCUUCUUUGAUAUCUGUUUCUUGGACCCAAAUAAUCUCUCUUUAUAGUUUGCAGGCUGGUUUUCUACUGCAGACAGAAGUUCUACAAGUUUAUCAUCAGCGUUGAAGUCAAACACAUCCCUGAACUCCCUGACUGUUCUUAACCUAAGGUAUUACCUGUUGCCUUUCAGCACCCGCCAAAUCGUCAUAAUUAGAAACCUUUAUUACCACUUCCUUUUCGAAGUUGGCAUGACUUGUGUAUUAACAUAUCAAUUUGUCAUGUCAGGGGAAACAAUUUGCAGGAGGGUGACAUGGAGGAUGUAUGCAAAAUUCUAGCAAAGAUGUCUAAUUUGAGAAAUUUAGAUAUAAGCGACAAUCCAAUCACUGAUGUGGGUAUCAGGUAGUCAUCAACAUUGCACAUGUAGUGUCUGCUGCUAAUUGUAGGCAGUAGAGUUAUGCUAUAUUGCUAUCUGUUUGUCUGUUUGUCUUCAGUUUUCUCUAGAUUUGCAUCAAUCAUGAAUGGAUGCAUAAUACUUCCUCCGUUCCUAAAUAUAAGUCUUUUUAGGCAUUUCACUAUGGAUUACAUACGGAUGUAUAUAGACAGACUUUAAAGUGUAGAUUCACUCAUUUUGCUCCGUAUGUAGUCCGUAGUGAAAUCUCUAAAAAGACUUGUAUUUAGGAACGGAGGGAGUAGUUCUUUAUGCCUGUGGUCAACUUCAAGACAAUUAUUCCUUGUAGACUCUGUUAUGUCCUAUCAGUAAGCACUAAGGAGUUACAUAUAAACUUGCAGAUACCUUAUGCCUUUCCUUGAAUUGGCUCUUCAAAGGGGGAAUCCACUUCAGAGAUUAAGAGCAGAGAACUGUGAUUUGUCCAGUAUCGGUGUGACUAAACUUCUUGAGUGCCUCACAUCGAUUAAUAAACCACUUGACAUGCUGUCUAUAGCAGAUAAUCAUCUUGGGAGGUAAGUCCUUUCUCCCAGUGCAGAGUUUCUGUUGUUUCUUUAGCUUGGUUCACAUUUUGGACUAUGAUGAAUUUUCAGUUCUGUGGCAGCUACAUUAGUGAAAUUCCUGGGUUCACAUGUAAGGGAGCUAAAUGUUGAAGACAUCGGCCUAGGACCAAUAGGCUUCCAAAUACUUGAGGAAGCAUUGCCAAGGAAAGUAAAUCUCUCCCACAUCAACAUUAGGUAGAAUAAACUCUGCCCGACUCACAAUGAUGAAUGCUUGACGUGCAAGUUUCCGUAGUCACUUCAAAUUUUAUUUUGCAGUAAGAACCGCGGUGGGAUGCGUACUGCAUACUUCAUUUCCAGGCUGAUACUGCAAGCACCGAACCUUGUAUCAGUCGAUGCAGGAUCUAACCUUUUACCCCCUGAAUCGCUGGAAGUGAUAUGUAAUGCAUUGAAGCAAACAACAUGUAAGAAACACGCUUCUUCGUGUUCUCCUUAACUAUGUUCAAGGCCGUCCCUAAUGGGCAUGCACCAAGGAGAAUGGUCAAUAACCAGUGGGCCUGUUGCAGGUAACUUGGCGCGACUAGACCUGAUGGGCAACCUGCAAUUGUCGAGUGCUAUCUUUCCUGCAGUCUUCGAGUUCAACAAGCACGGAAAGCCAAUCCUGCUUGUUCCGUCGGAGCAAGGUAGCUGUGCACCCUACGAUGCCGACCCGUAAGCUGUAAGUAGCACUUAUUAUACUGAGAAUUAUGAAAGGUGUCUGUUAUUUUUCCUUUGCAAGUUUGGGUGAAACCUCCUAUUUGCAUGAUCAAGGGAUGCAUGACGCUUUUUGCUGUAGAAGUUGGAGAAAGUGCACAAAGACUUUCAGUUAAUAAAGCAAAGCUACUUGGGCAACCAGGAAAAGGAGGCUUAGACGUCGAUUGGGGCAAAUAUUUAUCAUCAUUCCUUCAGCAGAUCACACGUAGAAUGAAGUGAAGUUUAAUUCGAGAACCCAACCACGAGUUGGUUCAUGAUUGGUUCUAGGGGUGCAGGACGGCGUCCCGCAAAGUCCGGCAAAAACAGCCAGCUAGUACACAGCUAGUACAAAUUAAUGUCACACAGUUUAAGACUAUCCAUAAUGGGAGUAACAUAGGUGAUAUGUCAUGUGGGGCCAGACUUAUAGGCGCAAGGGUCCUGCACCUCCCUAAUUCUGUCCUAGUUUAAUUAUAGAGUCCUAGAUUUAGGUUCAAGAGUCUGGGUCUUAAGUUGGAAAGGUUUUGUCCCGAAGAAGGUUACCCUGCCAACCCCCAAUUAGAGUUGAAAUCUGUUCGUUUUUUAAUUGGCUACUUAUAGCCACCCCUAUGCGAUCAAUAAAGGAAGGCAGAAAAUAAUCUAUCUUCUCCCCUCGUGCACCUGCACCUCGGUGCCCCUCCUCACCUCCUUUCUUAACCAUAGGUCGGUGAGGGGUUCGCCCUCGUCCUCCAACCUUCCACGACCACAACCUCCGUACCAAUCCAACCCCAGCCCGUGACAUGGUAACGUCACGAAAAUUGCUUUUGGAACUCGGCCUCCAUGGUGGCCUUUAAAUUUGAAAUCCAAAAUUCAUGAAAAUUCAUAUUUUUACAUUUCAAAAAUUCUGAAAAAAUACAGAGAUAAGUGAGGGUGUAACACACAUGUGUGUAAAUUUUUAGAAAAAAAUAUGUUGAAAUGAGGCUUGUGCAAAAAAAACAAAUCUGAAGCUUUUUAACACAUGAUACUAUUCAUCGUCUCCGGCCAUGAAUUUAUUUUUUUGUGCCGAUCGUAUUUCAAGGUAUUUCAUCCUAAAAAUUUACACACAUAUACGUAACAUCCUUCUUUACUUGCAUAUUUUUUUCAGAUUUUUUUUAAACCGAAAAGUUUAAAAUUUGAUUUUAUUCAGAAAUUUUGAGCUCCAUGGAGCUAUGGAGCUCGGCCUCCAAACGUCCGUUCUCGUAACAUCACAUAUAUCUAAAAUAGAUGGUGUGACAAGUAUGAGGAGAGAUAUACAUGUGGUAACAUACUCCCUCCUAUCCUUUUUUACUCUAGAAUUGUCCAAAGUGAAACUUCGUAAAGUUUGAACAUAUUUAUUUAUAUGAAACAAUAUCAACAUCUGCAAUGCUAAGCUUUUACAAUACAAAAAUUAAAGUCAUGACGCUUCUAAUGAUAUUAAUUUCACAUUGUAAAUAUUGGUAUUUUUUCUCUAAAGUUGGUUAAACUUAACUAGGUUUGACUUUUAGACAAAUCUUAUAUGCGAACUAAAAAGGACGGAAGGGAGUAGUAUGUUAUUCACAUUAUGAGUAACAUCACCCCAAAACAAAAUGAGUUUAUAAUCUAAUAAAUGAAGUAUUGCAUGGCACCGUACAUAUGUUACUCCCCACAAUGACUAGUCUAAUCUUUCUAUAACUGACAUUUUAGUUUUGAAUAGGAAGCGGGAUGGUUCGGACGCCCUGCAGCCCUAAUUGGUUACAUGCCUGCUGGUUUUUGCAUGAAGUUUGAUCCGAGAGGAGGCACCCAGGUGGUCCAGACUGUUGAGAACGAGUAUUUAACCAAAAACUACCACACUUCAUGAAACCAUGCCUACAAACUACCACUUUAUGAUUUUAUCCUGAAAACUACCAUUUUUUUCCUAAUAUGUGACUAAAACCUAUCAUUUUUGAGACUUGGUAGUUUUUAGUCACAGAUUAGAAAAAAAAAGAUAGUUUUCGGGACAAAAUCAUAAAGUGAUAGUUUGUAGGCAUGGUUCCAUAAAUUGUGGUAGUUUUUGGUUAAAUACUCACCUUAUUUAGCUUUUGGUCAAUCUUGGCCAUUUCAGACGUGGAGAUUUCUCUCCCUUCUGUGAUUUAAUGAUUGGGACUCUCCCUGUUUUUCCUUGCUUAAAUCAGUGAGAGGCAAAGCUCUUGCAUUUUUUCUCAAAUAAAAGAAGGAACGGGGAAGAGAUGAAGUUUGAACAUACCUGCAUGCCGUUGGCGGUGAGAUUCGCCUCAAAACAUCCAUCAAUUUGGAGGUGAUUUUUGAGAAACCCCUCAUCAAUUAGGAGAAUCACCUCAGAAUCUCUACCAAUUUGAGGCUUUUCUGAAAAAUUGUCAAGUGCUCGUGUAGAACAGGGGGACAGCUAGAAGCAAUGUUGUGCAUUGGACGUGAGGACGUGAAGCUUCUACCUUGACCCUAAAAUAUAACAAGCUGCCACCUUCUCAAACAUCACAGCUACAAGGAAUACUUCCAUAAUAUCUAACCAAUUGUGUUCCAGAAGAUGCACAACAGCCAAAAAAGAGUCAAAGCGGUUAAACUGCAAGAUAUGAGUAUUUAAUCAAAAACUAUCAUAAUUCAUGGAACCAUGCCUACAAACUAUCACUUUACAAUUUUGUUCCGAAAAAUACCAUUUUCCUAAUCUGUGACUAAAAACUAUCAUUUUUAGAUUUGGUAGUUUUUAGUUACAGAUUAGGAAAGAAAUGAUAGUUUUCGGAACAAAAUCAUAAAGUGAUAGUUUGUAGGUAUAGUUUCAUUAAUUGUGGUAGUUUUUGGUUAAAUACUCGUUGAGAACGGAAUCCUCCCGACGAAGGAAUAUUUUGGCUUUGUUUCAUGUGCAUUUCUACAACCAGUCGACCAUCUAUCUUGAGUUAGGCAGAAUAUAUCUUUGGUUCACUUUUUGUACAACAAACAAUAGAUGUAAUGUAAAGCCAAACAUAUACAACUAGUAUGAUGUUAAAAACGCUUUUAUAUUAUGGGACAGAGGGAGUUGUUUCUAGUAGAGAGGAGCAGUUCGUGCUAAUAUGAGGUGACAAAGUGGUAUUAUUCGUUGGGCUUCUUUUUUGUCACAGGUGAAUCAGAAAAUUUAAAAGAAGCCCUUGCUGGUGCUUAGCGGGGCGUUUGCCGAUUAUGAGGGUGAGGUUCUCGGGGUAAAAAUCUGGUCGAUAACUAACUUUGGGAAGGAUGUGAUUCGUUUAGUCCUAAUAGUCGUAAUUAAAUCAUUUAUUUAAUAUACUUUUUCUGUUUUAAAAUAAGUGACUUAAAAUAAGUCUUGUCACGCCGCGGCACGGACUGCAUAGUGUGGCGUCGUCUUGUGGCACCCAACCAUGGUCGGUAGUACGACCAGCCGCAUCCUGGCCACGCGGGAGGAGGUAAUGAAGUGGUUGGAGGCGUGCCGUCACUGUGCCGCCUCGCCCUGUCGCGGUCGGCUAUGGUCAGAGGUUCGGUCGCCGGCACUGCAGCCAUGUGUGUGCUGACCAGUGGUACUCGGAUCGUUGUAGCCACGUCUGGCUGAUGUGUCCCCCGUCGCGUUAGCCUGGGUGAUGUGGAAGGUGCUGACCCGCCGGCUGGCGGGUCGCCCACGAGCCGGAUAGAGGGCGGUCUCGCCCUAAGCUAGCUCGCGUUGUGUAGGCGGCCAGGGGCAACCGGUUUACGGGAGUAAGCGUCCGUCCCAUACUAUUUUGAAAAAAGAAGGGGUUGCCCGAAUGAGCCUAUCUCGGGUUUAUCCCCCUUCAAUCAUGGUAGUACAAGGAAAACUAAAAGUAAUAAAAAUUACAUCCAGAUCCGAAGACCACCUAGCAACGAUUACAAGCACUGAAGCGAGCCGAAGACGCUCCGUUGUCAUCGUCCUUCCUUCGUUAGAGCCGGACAAACGUUGUUGUAAUAGACAAUCGAAAAAUCGUCGUACUAAGAUCCCAUAUGAUCACCAACACACGAGAACAACAAACGUCACAGAUGAAAAAUAUAGAUCGAAAUUAUCCAACCUAAAAACAUACGGACAAAGACGAAGGACGAACAGAUCCGAACAAAUCCAAAUAAAACAGAUCGUGGAAAACACAAUUCCACAAACACACCGACAAACGUAGCGUUGCCGUUGCGUUUGGUCUAAACUGGAGGUACUUUUGGCUUCUCCAUCGAUCAUAGGAGCAAUUACUGGAGUGAAGCCGUUUUCUUCUUCUUCUUCUUCUUUGUUGCUGGAGUUGGAGCGAACCCGUCGACCCAGAAUAAUGAACGAGAGCACGGACAUGCCGGUGUUCGUACGUACGCACACUGCUGUUCGUCGUUAGGCACUGUAGAUCCAACUAACCAUCUCAACCGUCUAAUCACUUGAUCAACGGACUGAUUUCCCUAUUAACAAAAUCCUGGUCACUAACGAAAAGUCCCUCGUCGCUAACGAAAAAAAAUCGCCGCGAUCGGCCGCGAACUGCUCCCGCAAGCCCCCUCUGGCCCGCUCGCCCCCACCCCGCUCGUCUCGCUCGUCCCGCGCACGGCCGCCGCCGCUCCGCUCGNNNNNNNNNNNNNNNNNNNNNNNNNNNNNNNNNNNNNNNNNNNNNNNNNNNNNNNNNNNNNNNNNNNNNNNNNNNNNNNNNNNNNNNNNNNNNNNNNNNNGGGCGCGUGACCCGACGGCGACCCGGCCGGGAGCGCGCACGCGGCCGGCAUGGGCAGGUCGCGCUCGCUCGCACGGAACGGCAGGACAUAGCCCGACGCCGACGCGGCCCGGGGCCUGUGCGCAUGCGUCCGGGCAAACGCGCCUCUUGGGCGCGCGGACCGGCACCGGCGCGAGCGUGCACCCAAGGUAAGUACGUACUGCGUGACGGCAAACGGUGGCCUGUCGCUCGCACGGACAAACAGGACAUGACUCGCGGCGACGGACGGCCGUGCGUCCACCAGCUCGACGGGACGGCGGCGACAGACGGCCGUGCAUCCACCAGCUCGACGGGACGGCCAACGUAUAGCACGUACGUGCGUGCGGCGGCGUAAAUGAAUGCACGCUCGUACGUAUAGCACGUACAGUACGUAACGUACGUACGCGCGCGCGUACCGAUCGAUCUCGAUCUGGCCGCGUUGGGCGGCGGCGCAUUGAUUAACUGGGCGCGCGUGACCGUGGAUCCGUCCGUGAUCCGGUGCGGGCGGGCGUGCACGGUGCGUACCGUUGCUGGUACGCUGCCGCACCUGCCUGCACGUACAGGUCUACACUACAUGCCCUAGGCUUAGGAGCCGCGAUGCAUCGGCAUGUUCCGGUAGUCCACGUACGUAGUACCGCUCGCUCAUGCAUGUGCAGUUUGUCUCCAUGCCGAUCCACCUGCCCCCGUCCCCUGGCCGCUUGCCCCGCUACCACGGCGCCCUCAACUCACCUCCAUCCUCGGCGAGUAAAUAGCCAAAAACCAUCACAAUUAAAUUAUUUAUUGUGAAAAAUCAUCGUUUUCAUAAAAGUUUAUCAAAAAUAUUGAUUUUGAGUAAUUGUUUGCUCAAAGCAUAAAAAACGACGCUGGAUCGCAUUUUAUCAUGAAAACUGACAGUCGGGUCCAUUGUGAGUGAUGAUGCGGCAUAGAAAACUCACACCGUUUGACACGGCCGUUAAGCUCACAUAGGGCUUACCUGUCAUCCUCUCUCCUUCAUCUUCUUCUUCCUUCUUGCUCAUGUACUGCUAUCCCACCGCGCCGCGCUUCCCCUUCCUACGACUUAUCCUACUCCGGCGAGCACCGGGACGUCGAAUCCGACGCGCCAUGUCGGCUGCCGCUUCAAGUACCUCUAUGCCGAAUCGGGCGGGAGGGUCGCGGGAACCUUGAACUCAGCCUCCCCGGAGCGAGUUGGGGCUCGGGCGCGCAGGAGCUCAGGAUAUCCGGUGAGGGCACGUGGGUAGCUCGGCCUCCCAUGAGUGAUCAGGAGCGCGGGCGCGCGAGCUCCUCCUUGUCGCCCAACACGCCACUCAACUCGCCGGCUGCUGCUGCCUCCUCCACGAGUCAAGUUGGCUGCGCGUAGGAGCUCAGACUCGCUGGAGCGGGCUCGCGGGGACCUCGCUGGAGCGGACAGGGGCGCCGGCGCGCGAGCUCCUCCUCCUUGUAGCCCAGCACGGUAGCCACCUUGUCCUCCAUGGGCCCGUGCAGAGCUGCAGGGGCAGCUGACUUUGGUGAUGCUCCGACGAGUUGCGCAACGACACCACCACGUCGAACUCCUUCGUCGUGCGGAAGCUAACUGUCCUCCACCUCUCCACCCCGAUGCACUCAAGAUGCUUGAUGAAAUGCAAGAGAGAAUUAUAGGUGUUCACAUAUGUGCUCCAUUGUAACCUAACGCUUCAGUCAGAUAGUCCAACGCCCGUCUUGGCUGGCCAUUACCCCGUGCCACGUGGCCCUAACAAAUGGGUCCAUUGUCAUUUUUCAUGUCAAAAUGUCGUCAAUCAUCGUUUUCAGUGCUUUCGGUAAACAAUCAGUUAAUAUCGAUAUUUUCGGUAAACUUUCAUAAAAAUGAUGGUUUUUCACGACUCAACUGUGCUGGUUUUCAACAAUUUACUCAUCGCCGGCUCGACCCAAACCAGUCAACACGAGAAAUAUAUGGAGUGCAGACGAAGAGGGCGGUGCAAUGGCAAUGUCAGGAGGCUGAUCGAUGGAAACUGCCGGUGACCAGCAGAAACAAGAAGCCGGUUCCCGCAAAAUAAAUGACCGGGAAAGAUCCCUUUUGGACGCUGCUCCUCGUCAGGUACUGUGAUCGGGACCGCGCGCCCUCCGAUCUAUUUUUGUUUUCCUACUCUGAUCAUCUCUCUAGAUCUUUACGGCUUGCUGUUGGCGGUUUCAUGCGGUAGCUAGACUUUUAUUCCAUUCCAUUCCUUUCCUUUGGCACUGAGACGAUCCGGGGUACUCCCGUCCUCCCGUUAUUUUUUGUACGGUGGAACCCGGUUCAUUCUUGGCUCCUACGGGGAAAAAAAAGUUACUGACCUGCAUCGAUAUCGAUCGGUCGAGCCAUAGUUUUUUCACCGUGUACGGCGACGUGCCGACGUCCGCCCCGGUCUCGGCGAUGCGAUAAGCAAGAUACGUGUGUGCCGGACCGUACAUACCGUAUUGGCGCGAAAGCAUCAUGAUUACCGGUCGUGAUCAGCCCCACGAUCAAGUGUCACGCCGGGUUUGCUCACAUCCCACGUACGUGCGUACGCCUCGAUCGAGAUUGCAACGGCGAUGAACCCGGGCAUUGGCACAUGCACAUGCAUUGACGCAUGAAACACGAGACCAUCUACGGCUUAGCUAGGCCGGUCCUCUACGUUAACGUUAACGUUAACAUCAUCAUAGAUUCAUAUCUAGCCACAUGCUGCGCAACUUGGGCAGCACACGUACGUGUCGCCUCUCCAUCGGACGCACACAUCAGCCGUACGGAGCAAAACAAAACAUUGGUACUCCUACAAGAAAGAGUACGAUCACGGAUCGCUCCUGUUACCACGCACGCACGCCCGGCAAUCAAAGUGUCCAAGUAUAUAUGCCGUGCACGCGGCCAGCCAGCCAGUCACACCAAACCUCUCGCUCUCGCAUGGCGUGUGUGCAUCGCCGGUCUAUAAUAAAUUGUACGUGUAGCGUCGGUUGAUAAAUCGCGUAGCGGUGCCGACCAAGUGCAAUGUAAAAUGUGUCGAGUUAGUCGCAACAAAACAUGAUGAUUACGGUCGUGAUCAUCGGCCCAUCAUCAAGUGUGUCACUCUCGUUCGCCAUGCAUGUACGGCCUCGAGAUCGCAAACUGCGGAACACGAGUCGGCCUGGUCCUGGAAGUAGGAGUAGUACUAAUUAUAAAGAGCAUAAUUUUUUUCCCAAUCGUGCUCACAUCCCUUCUCAUUAAUCAUUUAACGGAAAUACAUCGUACGAGUUUCUCGUGAACUAUCGACCAAAUGCUAAAGAGAACAGAAAACAAGGAUAAAACUAAAAGAUAGAAAAGGAAAAAAACGUGUUGGAGCAUCGGCAGGAAACCGUUGCGAAUGUUUACAAAAGAAACAUCCAUCGUGGGACGAAAAUCUACCGACACUACCCAUCACACAACAUAAAGGAACCGUACUACCAGGAGAUCAAUCCACUCCCUAAGAGUCUAACCAUGACUGCAAAAAAGAUCACAAACACACUCAGCGGGCAUCAAACCCCCGUGAGGAUAACACGUAGCCAGACUUCAACCAACAUGAGCUCUACCAUCAUAGCCCAGCGCAGCUCUGCUCCGAAAACGAUCGGCCUAAGAUGCCGCCACCCGCGCCAUCAACUGGACUCCUGCCUGAAGCUUAGACUUGUUCCUUCCUUUCAAAUGACCUGACCAGUAUAUUACGAAAGAACAAGCAGUGAAAACGGCUUCUAAUGGACUUCUAACCACAUGCUUCUUAAAGGUAACUUUGUUACAAGUGCACCAUAUACUCCAGCAAAUAGCAGCCAAAAUCAUCAUAUAAAAUUUACCAUCCCCGGCAGGAAUCUGUAUAGCCAGGCCUAGGAUUGCCACAAGGAAUAUGGACAACAAGUUGCGCCAACAGCUACCCUGAACAUCCCCUAAACCGAACGAGCAAAAGUGCAGCCGAAAAACAGGUGCUCCGAUGUUUCAACAUUCUCACAGAAGGAACAUAAUGGAUUUUCGGGCCAGUUUCUUUUCCGCAUAUUAUCGCUAGUAAGAACAACAUUUUGCAAUAGCUGCCACAGAUUUUUUUUUAAUUUUCAGAGAAAUAUUAGCUUUCCAAACCCACUUAUAGUCAGGUCCAUUAAGGUCUUUCUCCAACCAAUUGUAAUUAAACCGAUUUAACAGAAAACAAUUUGUUAGAAUUAAAUUUUCAAACCACCUUAUCGGCAAACUAGAUAACACCAAGUUUCGAGCAUCAUUAACAAUCUCUUUCCAUCGUCGAGCCAGCUUCCCGAAUAGCGUACGUCUAAAUGAGAUGUCAUAAUUGUUACCGACAAAGGUUGCAAGAUUGCAUUUUUAAUCAUCACAUAUAUCAAAUCACAUAGGACAGUUAUCUUUUAAAGGCAUGUCAUCAAACCAAGGUUCGUGCCACAAUCUGACGAGACCCCAUCAUUCCUAGUGAUCUCUCUACCAGCCAUAUACACAUCAAUUAUAAAUAGCAUCAUAAUUAGGGCCGUAGUAGUACACUUCGUCUACAACCGACUGGUGUCGCAUCCCGGCCGUAUCCAUCAACCCAGGCCCCGUAACCCGUCAGUACCAUAUACAGUAGCAAACUGGUACGUACGAUAAACUCAUAUUACCACACAUGUCCAAGUCAGCCGUACACACGGUCACGUCACGCACAUAUAUAGCAGCACACGCGUAGUAAAUAUAAGAAUUGGGUGUGUCUAGGGCAAUCUCCACACAUGUGUAUAAUCUUCACGUAAGACCAUUGAUAUAGAACUCAGAUAUAUAAUACUUAUAUCACAUCUAGAUGUGUUUUAAUAAAGGGUGUGUCUAGGUCUCAGCCGACUGAGACUUCGCGACUGAGACUUCGCAAAAUCUCAGUCAAGUAGUAUAAUAUGAGACUGAAAAAAAAUGCAAAAUCUGCACGCGUCUAAAUGCAAAAAUCUGCACGAAUCUAAAUGCAAAAUCAACGAAUUAUAGGCCCUGUUUGGAUACUCUAACCGGGUUAGAGGUUAGAGUUAGAUUCUAACCCUCAACUAACCCUGAACUAACUCUAACCCAAGAGGUGUUUGGAUGAGAGGGUUAGAUUGGCAAUAAAUGCUUUUUCCCAAUCAUUUUACUACUUUUGUCCAUGUUCAGUGUCGGAUUUGGUGUGGCCGGUCGUUGUGUGGUUGUGGCGGAACGGCGUGGGGUGGGGUGCUGCAGACGGCGGCUGGCAACNNNNNNNNNNNNNNNNNNNNNNNNNNNNNNNNNNNNNNNNNNNNNNNNNNNNNNNNNNNNNNNNNNNNNNNNNNNNNNNNNNNNNNNNNNNNNNNNNNNNUAUAUAUAUAUAUAUAUAUAUAUAAGGUUAACUUAUCUUAUUAUGCAUAAUUAUUCAUUGCUUACGAGGCAGCACGUUAAUUCAGAUAUGCAUAAUUAUUUCUAUUUAAAUUAUAUGAAAACUAAUUCCCGAACACCAAACGAGGCAGCACGUUAAUCUCCCGAACACCUAAACCCUAAAACCCUAAAACCCAAAAAUAAUUUCAUUCAAAAAAAAAACCCAAAAAUAAGCAAAAUCUGAAACUCUUUAGUCCCGGUCCGUGUAACGAACCGGGACUAAAGGGCCCACCCCUGGGGCGCUACGUGUAACAGGGCCGGGACUAAAAGUUAGGCCUUUAGUCCCGCCCCUUUAGUCCCGGUUGUUGAACCGGGACUAAAGCCCCUUACGGACCGGGGCUAAAGGUUCCGUCCCCAUUAGUGACAUUCAUCAGAAAAUGUUAAAAUUAUACGAAUCCGUGUCGCAUCCGGUGGAACAAGUGCGGCUAGCCGUACUUAUACAAUGGUCAUGUGCCAUGCUGGACACAUUCUUUUGCAGGCCCGUGUUGUAUGUCCAUUCAGAAGACAUCAUCUCGAUACGUGGAUCAUGCUUUAUAAUGCACCCGUUUUGCUUAUCACACACACACUCCGCAUGAUCGUUUUUGCUCUUCACUCCUUCGCUUUUCCGCGACAACCCGAAGACGCACGGUUCAUUUCGAAACGUAAAUAACAAAAGAAAAAAAAACUGCCACAUGAUAGCAAAUUCAAAACAGACAAUGUAAACAAGAGCACGAAAGUUUUCUUAACCAUCCCAAGCAAAAUAAAUUAUGACACUCCCUCUAUAAGUAAAUAUAAAGAAAUGGUAUCCCUUAUUGAUUUUUUGGAAUUCCAAUUUUUUGGCAUAGUCGGCUCUUUGACGCGUUAAAAAAAAAAAAAAAAAAAAAAAAAAAAAAANNNNNNNNNNNNNNNNNNNNNNNNNNNNNNNNNNNNNNNNNNNNNNNNNNNNNNNNNNNNNNNNNNNNNNNNNNNNNNNNNNNNNNNNNNNNNNNNNNNNNNNNNNNNNNNNNNUGGCUUUUCAACCACAAAUCGUUUGCAGGCCGGACCGAACUUUCUGUCCCUGACGCGACCCCGCAUCGGCUGGGCGGCCCAAACACGGCAACAAAAACGCCGCCGCCGCCUUCCUCUUCCCCACCACCGCUCCAUCCCGUCCUCCCCCUCUCCCCGCAGCGCAGAACCCCAGCCAGCGACACGCGUUCGGAAGGAAGCAAAAGAGGAGAACUUCCCUUCCACCCCCGUCCCCUCCGGCGACCGCCGUACCCUCGCCCGCCAUGGACGCAUACUACCCGCUGCCGGCGAUGGCGCCGGACCUGCCGGUCUGGUCCCACGCCGCGCCGGCCCCGGCCCCGGCGGUCCUGCUCCCGGAGCCCCAAACCCUACCCUCCUUCUUCAUGCACCCGCCCCCGCCGCCCCCGCUACCCGCGGGCCGCGGCCGCCUCCUCCCCUGGCCGAUCGCGCACCGGCCGCCUCCCGAAUUCUUCUUCGAGAUGGACUACCGCCGGACCCACUCCCUCAUCCAGGUAAGCCCCCCCGUCACCCGCCGAUUCCUCCGGUUUCUCUGCUGACUGCUGUCCCCGGUGGUCGCCUUAGAGUAAUCCCGUGCUUUGCUUUCUUUUCCUUCGGGGGCGAUGCAGUUCUUGACGGACGAGGGGGCCAUCCCGACGCCGGAGGAGGAGGAGACGAGGGAGCUGGUCAUCCGCGAGCUCAAGAAGGUAGUACUGGGGUGGGCAUGGGGACUCUCGCUUGGAAAAAUUGGGUGUUGCGCGCGUGUCCGCCCGGCUGGAGUUCCUGAUUUUUUGUGUUUUCGAUGCUUGCUCGCGCAGAUUGUGACGGAUUGGGCCAAGGGAGUGGCCUCCGAGGAGAGGGUUCCCCCGAGGCGGGUGACGGCUACGGUCCUCACCUAUGGUUCUUACACGCUAGGGGUAAGCAAGAACGCAAGAUACUCACCAAAAAUGAUGUGGUCAUGAUUUCUCUGAAUGCUUGCGUGGUUGGCAAUAUUGGUUGCAUUAUCCCCAGUUUCAAGAUUCUAUAGAAUUCCAUGUUUGUAGUAGUAAUUUGGUUGGAUUAUCCCCCAAUUUCAGAUUUCCUUGGAAUUUCAUGUUUGUAGUAAACUGGUUGGAUCAUAACCCAAUUUGAAGUUCUAUAGAAUUCCAUGUUUGUAUUAAAAAUUGAUUGGAUUAUCCCCCAAUUUGAACAUUCUAUAGAAUUCCAUGUUUGUAGUAAAAAUUGAUUGGAUUAUCCCCCAAUUUCAGAUUUCCUUGGAAUUUUAUGUUUGUAGUAAUGCCUAGGUUUAGUGAUUCACAACUUCUGGCCAACUAAGCCGGCAUAUAUUUCAAGGAAGGUAGAUUGCAAACCUAUUAGCAAAGACAAAACAGGAGCAGAAAAUGGUCUGUUGUUUACAGUGCCUGCCCCUAUGCCCAGACCAUUCUCUGAGCGUUAAUUGCAUGUGACAUUAUAAGUUGUAUGGCUUGUCACAUGUUUGUGCACCUUCUGUUUGUUCUAGUUACCGCUUAUGAUGCAAUAAAUCAAGUGCGUUGGCUGAUCAAGUAUUUUUGUUUUUUCAAGGCUCACGGACCUGAAUCUGACAUCGAUGCACUAUGUGUUGGUCCCUGUAUCGCAAACUUGCCGGUAAGUAUUGUGGUUUGUGUUGCACCUUUCUCCACCUUUGCUUCAGGAUGCUAACGCAUGCCAUGUCAAUCUUGCAGCACCACUUUUUUGUUGUUCUGCGACAAAUUCUCAAGUGCAGGCCGGAAGUAUCAGGACUGCAGACUGUAGAAAAUGCCAAGGUUCCAUUGAUGCGAUUUAGAUUCAGCGGGAUUUCUGUUGAUCUGACAUACGCCCAGCUCCCAGUCCUUGAUGCAGUUCAGGCAAGUUUGUGCACUGACGCCCCUUCUAGAAAACUAUACCUGUAUUUAUGAAUCCUGUCUGAUCAUGCAAAAUUAUCUUAACUCAUGGAGUGGACCUGUUAGUGAGCAGCUUACCAAUAGGACGAUAUUGUUCUAGAUAGUUGAAGUGUCUCUGAUCUGCGGAGCUAAGGGUAUAACUCUGUAGUAUAAUCUAUUUAACUGCGGCACCUCAAAAUCAUCAAACAUGGCCCUGACCCUCGAAUACCUUUUUCCGGUGUCAAACAUGACUGAUUCAGAACCAAAUGAAGUUCUAGAAGUGCACAAAUACGAUCCUGACUUUCCUUGCACUCUCCAUACUAAGGACAUAUGAUAGAGCAUUCUCUUUGAUGGCCUUUGCCGUACUGUGCAAAAAGACUCGGUUAGUGACUUGGGGUUAGCAGCUAACAACUACUGUACCAGAUAUAUGACACCACAUUCAGAAGAUUAUUGGAUAACCCAUGUUGCUCAUUCUGAGCAUCAAACUUUUCUAUCUGUGUGACAAGAUCUCACUUCUUUUCCUUGACAUACAUUUAACCCCAGCCUUGCAAAAAACUAUGGGACAUCUAAUGUCAUUUGACCAUUAGUCAGGAGAAGUCCACUGUAUGUCAUCGCCUCACCCAUUUCGUAUCAGCUGUUUCUCGAAACUAGCCUGAAAAAACAUUGAUGCUCGCAAAAGAAAUGCAUUACUUGGUUCAUUUGCUCACAGCAAUAUGUGCUUGAUCAAACCAAUUCUCGUCAGGCUUCUCAUAGUAAAAGGUGUGAUCUGGCUCCAAGCCAUGCUAACUAGCAACCUGUCAAAAUUAACCAUGGCUGGCAAAUUUGCUUGUUGGUCCAUGUGUAACUAGCCCUUCCCCUUUAUUUUUUAUUUUUUUUAUUGUGGAUACUUUCCCCUUUAAAUCUUAUGGAUUUAUUGGAGAGUUGGAUCAGAUAGUGACCAAUAUUAUUGUUAUGUUCUGUCACAUGCCUACUGAAUGAGGUUUGCUAAUCCCUAGGAAUAGUGGCACAAUAUAUAAUUCUGUUUUUCUGCUUGCUGCUUGCCAAGCAGUCAGUCGAGAAGUCGGGCUGAGCAGGCCUAAAAGCCACACCACAUAUUCCCAUAUGAACACACUGACUUUUUGUUUGAUCAACACAUUUGCAAAGAAUUUACCUUGAUCAAAAGAACUCACAUCUAAAACAUCUUAUUUUGCUUGUAGUAAUGUUUCUGCAGUUUUUAUGAGUUCAGCACCCUAAAUGGUACUUACAAGAUAAAUCCAUAUAUGGGGAGUAUGAUCCCUCCAAAAUUAUAUUUAUCAUGACUGUCACAUACACACGGUACUAUGUAAAAAUGUAAGGUCUAUAUUCUGACGGGUUUACUUGCUCAUGCAGGCUAUAAAUACAUCUAGUCCUCAGUAUCUUCGGAGACUUGAUUCACGGAGUUGGAAGAGUUUAUCUGGAGUUCGUGUUAAUGAGCAGAUUGUGCAGCUAGUGCCGAAUCAAGAGGUUACAGACUAUUCUAAUUUAAUUCACCAGCACUCGGUCACAUUUUUGUCCCCUACAUAAUUGUACAUGAGCACCCAAGUAGUCAUGUUUGAAUAUACACUACUACUCAAUUCAUUUACAUGCUCUUGUAUUCAUCUAUGUCUGCACUUCCUACUUAACAUGCUCUUGUUUCCUUUGAUUUAUUUAUGUGCUUACUCUUAUCCCUGCUCUUGUUUCCAUGGAUUUACUGUGACUGUGGUAUUGCUCAUUAUUAUUUUUACACAAGAGUACUUCAAAUUGUUGUUAUUUUUUCACUUCAAAUUCUGUUUGUUAACAAUUCAUGCAGAAGUUCCAAAUUCUGUUGCGAUGCAUAAAACUAUGGGCUAGGAGGCGGGGACUUCAUUGCCAUGUAUGUGGUUUAAUGUGUGCUGCUGAUUGCUGUUCAGCUAUAUUCUGGUCUGACCGUGUCAUGUUGAAUUGUCUUAUGCCAUUUUGCAGUUGCUUGGUUCCUUUGCUGGGAUUCAUUUGGCGAUUCUUGCAGCCUAUGUUUGUCAGAGAUUUCCAAAUGCCACUGCCAAUGGUUUGUUCACCAUGUUCUUUGGCAUAUUUGCUCACUGGCCUUGGCAUAUUCCAGUAGAUCUGCAUGGUCAGCCAACUAACUGCAGGCAUUCAGAUGGGUGUUUAAUGCCCAUAGUGAUGCCUUGUACUCCGCCGGAACUCUGUGCGUCUAAUAUGACGGAAGGUACCUUCAGGAAGAUCAGAGAGGAGCUUAUGCGUGGUUAUGUUUUGACCAAGGUCAGUAAGUUUGGUAGUUUCACUUAUAGUUAUUCGUCCUGCUUUUCGAAGUCUGGUGGAGUUUGUGAAAUGCACAGAUUUUUUUAUUCUGAGGAAGUUUUGCCUAAAACUCUAUAUAUGAUAAUAUUUAGUCAUUUAUUUCAACGAUAUAGCUUUUUUUAGUAUAAUGAUGGUGGAUUGGUGAUUUGUCAACUUGCUUAUGCUUACAUAAACCUACACAUUCUGCCAUUCCUCUGCCACAAAUUCAGAUCUUCCUUGCAUGCAUGUAUUCAGCACUCUUUCCUGUUCUGAAUUUCUUUCCCAGGGACAAAUAAUCCACUGUUUCAUACCACUAUGGUUUCUGCAUCUCAACCAUUCAGAAUGCUCUAGCUUGACACAUGGACACCUAUCUCGUGUUCCUUGUUCAAUUCAAGUACUUGACUAUAUUUGCUUACUGCAUUUUGCUGUACGCCUAGCUCAUUGAUACUCGUCUCGAGUUUUAGUUCUCAAUAUCAUUUCACUGAGUAUGCAUUUUCCCCUUGUCUGUCCUCUUAACAGAACCGUACAUAAUGCAACUUAUCUUGGAAUAAUUUUGCGCUUCAGUUUUCCCUAGUACUAGACCGGUGCGCAUAUGUUUGCUUGAACACUUCGAAUUUAUUUUUGCAUCAACUCUUAACAGUUCUUUAUUGUUUGUCACAGGACCUAGGGAGCCAUGAUUUUGAGUGGGCAUGGAUUUUUGAACCCUUCCCAUAUUCAACAACAUAUGGACAAUUUCUUCGCAUUGCUCUAUGUGCUCCAACUUCUGAAGAACUGCAUGAUUGGAUUGGAUGGGUUAAAUCUCGCUUCCCUUACCUUAUUCUCAAGGUUUGUUUGCUGCAGUCGUCUUGUUUUUCCUUCAUACUCACGCAGCUCAACUAUUCAUUUAGUGCAAGGAUGUGAAAGUGUAAAUCUAAAUGGUUGUAACUUGUGCUCUGCAGCUGGAAAAUAUUGGCAUUGAGUGUGACCCCAAUUCAUCACAGGAAGUUGAUCAUACAGUCAUCAAACCCAACACUGUAUAUCACUGGGGCCUCAUCCCUCUGUCUGAUGUUUACCUUGAUCCUAGCUCUCUGAAGGAAGAUUUCAUGAAAUAUGUCAUCAAUGAUGUGUAUGGGAAGGUGAAAUGUACAGACUCAGAGCUGACAAUAUCCAUCGUCGACGCAUCAGAGCUUCCAAAAAGCAUGUCCAAUGACUCAUUUUACUCCCAGCAGCACCUGCACGAGUAUGGGGUGGGCUACCAAGCAGCAGCUGACUGUUGGAGUGCAUUUGGCUAGGAUAUUGCUGGAUCAUCUGGCACUUCUUUUGCAUCUCAUAUGCUGAUCAUCGGGCCGACACGGAAUCAUGUCUGUGGGUUUCUUGUCAUCUCCUUAUUGCCCCUAGCAAAGGGAAUCUGAAGACCAGUGUUCCAGAUGCACUAAGAUCAUGAAACUGACUUGGUUCUGCUCUGAUGGUUAUUCAAGCCCAUGUGUAAUACUGGUCAGUAUAUUGGCAUAGCGUCUGACAAAAAAAAGGAAAAAAAGUAUAUCGGUGUUGUGGCUUAUAGCAGGUAGAAUGUAAAAUGUAGGUUAUUGUUUCAAAAAAAAAAAUGUAGGUUACUGGAAACCCAUUGAAGAUGGGGAGGGAAAAAAAGAAGAAAAAAGGUAAAAUGUCUACAUGAAGGGGGUCCAAGUGCGGGUUUGUGCUGUGAAUUCUGAUGCCUGCUGGGUGCAAAUCACCCAUGGUGCCUGCAACUGCAAUGUAUAGUUGAUCUCACUAGUGUGCUGCUACAUUUUGUAAGCAGAAGAGCGCUUGCCACUGAACAAUUCUUGUGUGUAACUAAUAACUACCCUACUCGUAAGUGCCUGAUCUGAUGGGGUGGUACUGAGUAAUAAGCUGCAAGUGAAAAAAAAUUGUUGAAACUUGUAUGUGGUCUUGUUUCGCAGAGGUGGAUGAUGCUUGUUAGUAAUGUUUUUGUACGUAUUUGGUAUUGAUAAUGAUGAUGGUGAUGGUGAUGCAUGCAGUUUAGCAUGAUUGUAUUUUGUUGUUGCGUACAUGGUCCAGGGCCGGCGUUCAGGUGAGGAGAUGCAUUUGGUCCAAAGCCAUCAUGGCCUUGGCUCUGGCUCAUAGGUGUAUGUAUGCCGUCAUGGUAUACGCGUCACGCCUGAUGACCCAGCCUAGCUAUGCUCUUGGGAUCAUACUAGUCUUUGAGAUCCGAAGUUUGCGCAUCAUAGGCAUAUUAGACAGACCCCACCCUGCAAACCACGGAAAAUACGGUCGCACAACGAACUAUGUACUCUGAAUUUACUGAAUCAUGUACUACUAAAAUAUGUCUAUAUACGGAUACUACUAAAAUAUGUCUAUAUACAUCCGUAUGUAGUUCAUUAAUGAAACCUCUACUAGCAAAAGGGCUCAUGCGUUGCAACGGGAGAAAAAAAUACCACACGGCACACGCUCUUAAUUUAUAAAAAAUGUCUAUAAUUUGAGAAUUUAUAGUUACGAUACAAAUAAAGAUGGUCUUAUCCUACAAAAAUGCAGUUUAAAAUUUCACAGGUCUUCUAUUUUAACACGGCUUGCAUGUAGAUUUAAUACGUACAAAGAAUCAGUCAAGUGACCUUCAGUUUCAUCUCUAAUCCUGAUUUUGUUGACGUGUUCAUCCCCAACCCGGAUGAGUACCGAUAUGAAAGAAAGACGAAUAAUGACUUAUUUAUUAAGAUUGCAUCCUAGAUAGUAUUUUUAUUAAACGUUUAACAGAUAAAAUGAUAUCAUAUUUAAAUUCUACAUAUUUUUCUAAUCAAAUUCCAUGUAUAAUAUGUUAAAUUUGGAGUUACGGUUGAAAAGAUAUGAGUAUUUUAAAAAAUAUUUAAUAUAUACUACGAGUUUAAUGUCAUAAACAGUAAGGGCUUUUUUGUAGAAUCACCUCGGUGGGUUUUCCGACGAAAGCGAUAGCCUCUUUAUUAUUACUAGCAAAAGGGUCCGUGCGUUGCAACGGGAGAAAAAAUACCACACGCUUUUAAUCUUUUUAUAAUCAUUUUGAUUUAUUAAAAUAAUAAGCUAACUAACUAAUGUAGUCAGUCCUAUCCUAUUUUGUUGAGAAAUCAACCCAUCCAUUGUUAAUUCCACCAUGAUGAGAAAUUGAGCGGGACAAGCAAAUCAAAACAAAGAGGCUACGUGAAUUGAUCAAUGGACUGUUAUCUUAUUUCACUCAUGGGGUAGAGAAUGUGGGAUGAGAUGACAAACCGAAGGUGGUGUGCCAUUCUUUGUCUCUACAACAAUACAAUCUUACAUUCAAUACAUUCAUUCAUCAGCAAACAAAUCCUCACAAACAAAAAUUCUUGCCGAUGUUUGGCACAGGUUGGAGGCAUGGGGAGGGGAUCUCAUCAGAUGAUGAGUUCCUGCCGGAGAAGGGGAUACGAUGAGGGGGGCAAGGGUUAGGCGCCUCUAUUUGUCCAUAAGGAGUCGCCGUUGCCGCGCCAUAACCUCGGAGUUCAACGUGUGAGCCAUGGAGGCCCGCCUUCACCUGCAAGUACUUCGCUGUGUCGCGCCGCCGCCGUUGUGCAUCGAGAAGACGCAUCAUCCCCAGUCACUGUAGCUGUCGCGUUGAUUUGAUCCAGAAGCUGUGCUCGAACGCCGAAACGGGGGCACCAAGCGGGCAGAGAUACGACCGCGGAGGCGGGUGAGUUGAGAUCGGCAGCGGUGGCGGUUGAGGUCGGUCGCGGCGGCGAGUGGUGUGGCGGCGGCCUGGACACAGGCAGGGUGGCCCAGGGUCGACGGGAGGAGGCGAUGCGUACGGAUAUAAUUUUUGCAGCAAAUCAUUUUUUUCUUUUGCGUUGCAGAUAAAUAAUGAAGCGCGGGUUGAAUAACAAAAAUUACAGGGUUUUUUUUAUAAAAAUACCGCGGUGGGUUUUUCAACGGAAGCAAUAGCCGCUUCAUUAUUAUAUAUAUAUAUUAGGUAAAGAUAAAGAAUUAUAUUUAGGAACGGAGGAAAAGUACCAAGUUUGUACAUACGUAUGUUAUUAAUUUCAGUUACCAAGUCUGUAGAUAUGUUUGCCAUGGAAAAGGGAACAGCGAGAGCGAUACGGCAGAGGCGAAAGCAAAAAACUCAUCCACGUCGUAGUACUACUACUAGUCUACUAUACAUAGUCGUUGUCACAUGGUGAUGGUGGCACAGGGCCGGGCGGCCGCGCUCCGGACCACGGCGGGGUCGCGGUCACCACCGACAGCGGAGCCGAAUCAUCGGCAGCUUUUGGCGUGGCGAGUAACAUGCACGGCCAGCCACUAGCCAUUCCAUCGGUGACCCGAAGCCAUCUCACUCAGGUGCGCACAUGCGCUGAGCAGCCCAUCUCACUCACUCGCUCACGCACGCACGUCCGGCCCCGACGCGCGCCCUCGCCCGCGCCACACGAACCAGCCACGGCAGCUAGCACGCCACAUCGCUGCACAGGGGAAGCCGGCCGACGAACAGGGGCACGCGCGCGCACGCUCCCUCGGAUCGGCAUGCCAGGGCGCGGCGUGGCCGUGCCCACGACGCGUACGUGGGCGCGUGACCCGACGGCGACCCGGNNNNNNNNNNNNNNNNNNNNNNNNNNNNNNNNNNNNNNNNNNNNNNNNNNNNNNNNNNNNNNNNNNNNNNNNNNNNNNNNNNNNNNNNNNNNNNNNNNNNUUGCACGCUCCAUUGUUCCGGAGAACGGAGUUUUAUUCAUCUUGCCCAUGAGGCAUGGUUCGCACGUGUCAAGUGAAUCAAAGUCAAGUGACUCCAAAAGUCCAUCGACAUGGAGUUUCUUCAUGCGCUUUACACCAAUAUGACCUAAGCGGCAGUGCCACAAAAAUAUGGCGCUAUCAUUGUUAACUCUAACUCUUUUGGUCUCAAUGUUAUGUAUGUGUGUAUCGCUAUCAAGACUCAAUAUGAACAAUCCUCUCACAUUGGGUGCAUGACCAUAAAAGAUGUUACUCAUAGAAAUAGAACAACCAUUAUUCUCUGACUUAAAAGAGUAACCGUCUCGCAAUAAACAAGAUCCAGAUAUAAUGUUCAUGCUCAACGCAGGCACUAAAUAACAAUGAUUCAAGUUCAUAACUAAUCCUGAUGGAAACUGAAGUGAAACUGUGCCGACGGCGAUUGCAUCAACCUUGGAACCAUUUCCUACGUGCAUCGUCACUUCAUCUUUCGCCAGCCUUCGUCUAUUCCGCAGUUCCUGUUUCGAGUUGCAAAUAUGAGCAACAGAACCGGUAUCGAAUACCCAGGCACUACUACGAGAGCCGGUUAAGUACACAUCAAUAACANNNNNNNNNNGUAACAAUGAUUUAAGUUCAUCACUAAUCCCGAUGGUAGCUGAAGUGACACUGUGCCGACGGCGAUUGCAUCAACCUUGGAACCAUUUUCUACGUGCAUCGUCACUUCGUCUUUCGCCAACCUUCGUCUAUUCCGCAGUUCCUGCUUCGAGUUGCAAAUGUGAGCAACAGAACCGGUAUCAAAUACCCAGGCACUACUACGAGAGCCGGUUAAGUACACAUCAAUAACAUGUAUAUCAAAUAUACCUGAUUUUUCUUUGCCCGCCUUCUUAUUUGCCAGAUACUUGGGGCAAUUGCGCUUCCAGUGACCCAUACCCUUGCAAUAGAAGCACUCUGUUUCAGGCUUAGGUCCAGCCUUGGGUUUCUUCGGCGGAUUGGCAACAGGCUUGCCGCUCUUCUUCGAAACUAGUGGUCUUGCUCACCAUCAACACUUGAUGCUCUUUACGGAGUUCAGACUCUGCGACUUUCAGCAUCGCAAACAACUCGCCGGGAGACUUGUUCAUCCCUUGCAUGUUGUAGUUCAACACAAAGCCUUUAUAGCUUGGCGGCAGUGAUUGAAGGAUUCUGUCAGUGAUAGCCUCUUGCGGGAGUUCAAUCCCCAGCUCAGCUAGACGGUUUGAGUACUCAGACAUUUUGAGCACAUGUUCACUGNNNNNNNNNNNNNNNNNNNNNNNNNNNNNNNNNNNNNNNNNNNNNNNNNNNNNNNNNNNNNNNNNNNNNNNNNNNNNNNNNNNNNNNNNNNNNNNNNNNNCCACGGCGGAGGCGCAGGGUUCGGCGGUGGAGCUGGCGCCGGUGGCGGCGGGGGAUUCGGCGGUGGUGGGGGCGCGGGCGGCGGCGGCGGCAUCGGUGACGGGCAGUGAGGCCGGCCCGGAGAACGCGCGCAUGCACGUCGCGGGCGCUUCGGUGGGUCCAUGCAUGCAGGGAGACGUGCGUGACGCGCGCGCCAUGGGGAGCAAAGCAAUCAAUCUUGGUAGCCUACGUAUAUGCGAAUAAAUUUGUUGGGUGGUGAGCGAUGAGUACGUGACGUGACAAUGACAUUCCUUUUCCUUGUGUAUCCAUGAUAGUGUUAUUACCAUGACGCAUGUAUUAUUUUGGAAGCCAAACUAUGUUUCCAUCUGUAUCAAAGAUAUACUUAUAUAUUACUAUACAAACAGAUUUAUAUAUUGCGCACAGAAUGAUGACUUGGUUCCGUUACCGUACAAGUUUUCUUUUGUGAGUGCACGUGAAACGCACAUAUAAUCAUAAGUUUAAUAUUUUGAUUAUCCAAAUUGAUUUGUCUAUCACAAUGGUUGCCACAAUAACAUCUCAAGUUUUUAUAACAUUUGGUCUAAACUAAAAUUUAUAACAAUUUAAAAGGAAUUUUUGUUUAGCAAACGCCCUUCUUUGUGGCUAGAUGUUUUCACGUCGGCAUCUCAUUGCCUCGGAAGUGUCCCUCCCAUCAUGGAUCGUUUCUUAUGUGGCACUCCUCUUUAUGCCC